UUCAGCUAUUUCUCAUUUUCUCUGGUUGCUGCAAUUCGAGCAGCUUUUGACUGCUAAAAUGUGUGAGUCCAAGGCUGAGCUUGUCUAUUGGCUUUGAAAAUGGCCAGUGAAUACUAGCUGUGGUGCAGAAAAAUCCUAGGCAUGUGCCAAAUAUUGUGUGUUUCCUUUGGGUCUAUCUAUAGUAAAAUUAAUGCAGUUUUAUACUACUUUUCUUAUUUGUUUAAAAAAUGAGGCUAAAUGAUUGCUCCAUGGUGAUGUUGGGAGAAAGAGAUUGUUCUGCACCUUGCAUUUGCUUUAUGGGGAGGAAAUGGUAUUUUCUACUUGGAUAGAAAUGAGUGUAUCAUCUAGUGUUUUUCCAUAAAUAAGUUGCAGGAUUUGUGAGUAUUCCAACAGAAUUCUUGGAAAGUUUUUCUAGAGGUCAUUUUAAAGUCCCUCUUAUCCGUCUUCUCUAUGUUAGGUUCACAUUCAAGUAUAAGAUUCUCGAAGGUGGCUAUUUGACUUGCAUGCAUAGGCUCUUUGGUGAAGAAGACAAGAUUGAGUCUUUGUUAGCAUCAUGGUCAAACAAUAUCAGCUGCCAAGUGCUACAGAAAGGGUUAUUUCAUAUAAGUGAUGGCUGAGAAUGGACAGGUGGAGUGACUUUAUAGUUGUCCCUCUACAGCUAUAAAUUGUGGUUUUGACUUUUGUGGAUAUGAUUAUUCACAUAUUUGAUUAAAAAUGUUCUCUUUAGGAUUCCAAGUCCUCCAGUUUGGUUCUAUGUCCAACUUUAUCUAAAUACACUGGCGAACCUAGAGAUUUCUCUCUAGGAACCACUACAUCUUUCAAUACAAUUCUAUGUUCAACUACUAGCAGAGGUCAUGCUGAAAGACUAGGGCCCCUUCUAUACUGUUAUAUAAUGCAGAUUAUCAAAUCAGAUAAUCCACGCUAUCUGCUUUGAACUGGAUUAUAUGGCAUAUAAUCUGCCAUAUAAGACUGCCAUAUAAUCCAGUUCCAAUCAGAUAAGCAGUGUAAAAGAGGCUUUCGAUGUUCCUAGAGAGUUGUUCUUCUAGGUACAAAUAAGCAAUUCACAGUUGUUCACAUUCACAGGGUCCUGUUCUCUGAAGACCAGUGAAUCCAGAGGGCUGACUAUACUUCUUUUGCCAAUUGCCUUCUUCAAUUCUCAUGGCUAUGGGGGGGGGGGGGAGUGGAAGGCAGAUGGGUUGUACUUGCACACUUAUUAUUUUUAUUCGCUUCUGCACUGUUUAGCUCUCUGGAGUCUUAUCUUCUAUGCUCUUCAUCUAGAGAGAUGUACAGCAACCCAGGGGGUCCCCAUUUUGCCAGCAAUGGAGAAUUGGAUUGCUGCCCAGGGACAGUCUUGGCAGAAUAAGCUGUUGAGUGAGCUCCGUCAGCAGAAAGCUGGAAGUUUUCUCUGCUGGGUACCAUCUGCUGCAUUAUUUACCACUAUAACACACUUAUCUUAUAGCCAUAACCUGCACCAGUCUUUGGCACUAAGAAAAUAAUAAUAAUAAUAAUAAUAAUAAUAAUAAUAAUAAUAAUAAUAAUAAUGAAUGUAAUACCCACCUCUCUCUGAGGCUUGAGGCGGGGUACAACAUCAUUAAAACAAGAAAUAAAACACUAUUAAAAGGCAUACAACAAUAUAAACAGAGUUAAAAUACAAGUUAAAAUCCACCAAUAAAAUGCAGAGUAAAAUUCACAAUUUAACAUUGACUGGGUAUGCCUGCUGGAAGAGAUGGGUCUUCAAUUGUGUCUUAAAUUCUGACAGCUGAUUUAGCAUCAUAUCUCUUCUUGUAGGUCAUUCCACAGUUUUGGGGUGAGCCUUGGGAAGGCCUAGAAUUACAGUUCUAUAACAGAACAUAAGUGUUAGGAGUAUAUUGAACAGGAACGAUGAUAGGGCUCCUGGUUUUACUUAAGUCAGGCCCCUUCUACACUGCCAGAUAAAAGACAGAUUAUCUGUUGGAGUAUGGUUGUAUUUGUAUGAAAUGUAAAUCAAGUGUUUACUGCUGAUGAGCAAGAGUGUGUAUUUUUCAGUAAUGAAAUAGUUAACAGCAGGCUAGUUUUGACUGACAGCCUGUUGUGAUUGCUAUGACCUAUGAGACUUGAUUUCCUGCCUUUGAGGGUUGGAACUUCCUCCGGACUGAGGAAUAUUGUUUAUCUUAUCUGUGGUGUUCGGUGUGAGCAUUCGCUGAAGAUGGACUAUGAAUGCUAUGCUCUGAAGCCAAGAAAUGCAAACUGUAAAUAGACAUGUAAAUAAAGUUAAUCAACAAUUGGACUUCGUCUGCUGGAGUGUUUGUUUGACCAGUGCUGUUUCUCAGCAUGUGAAUACAGUCUGGAGAAGGAGGUGAGACGAGGAUGAUGAUUUUUGGAAUCCACUCUGCACAACCAUCAUCCCCUGACAUUAUUUGCUUUGAACUGGAUUAUAUAAGUGUAGACUCAGAUAAUCCAGUUCAAAGCAGAUAAUGUGGAUUAUCUAUUUUGAUAAUCUGGAUUAUAUGGCAGUGUAGAAGGGGCCUCAAAUAAACAUAUGGGGAAAUGUGUUGAGAAUAAAACUUGAAUGUAUCUCUUUUUUAAAAAGAGAGGAUCAAGCAAAUAGAGAAGUGACAUAUAAUUUAUCAUUCCAUGACUGCAAGGAAUCUCGGCACAGGACAGACCAAGUAGAGGACAAUCUUGGAAACCAAAAGUGUCCUCCUUGCUCCCUUAUCUCCCAUGCAAACAUACCUCUUUCUCAGUUCUAUGGGGACAACUAUAAUUGAAUAUUUUAAAAACAAUCAAAAUUUAAGUCCCAGCAUGUAUGUAUUUGUGUAUAUGCAGUCAGAUUCCUGUAUUCACAGGGAAUACAUUCUUGGCUUGACUUCAGUUGUAUGGAAUUAAAAAUACGACAGAGCACCACUGAAUUAUGUCCUUCACUUCUUGUCUCAGCAUGCCAUAGAUGUUUGUUGGAGGAAUUAGAGAUUCCUAAAGAAGUAUCAUUUCUAGUAAUUUGUUAAUACAGUAGAGUCUCACUUAUUCAAGACUCGCUUAUCCAAGGUUCAGGAUUAUCCAAUGCAUUUUUGUAGUCAAUGUUUUCAAUAUAUCAUGAUAUUUUGGUGCUAAAUUCGUAAAUACAGUAAUUACAACAUAACAUUACUGCAUAUUGAACUACUUUUUCUGUCAAAUUUGUUGUAUAACAUGAUGUUUUGGUGCUUAAUUUGUAAAAUCAUAACCUAAUUUGAUGUUUAAUAGGCUUUUCCUUAAUCCCUCCUUAUUAUCCAAGAUAUUCGCUUAUCCAAGGUUCUGCAGGUCCGUUUAGCUUGGAUAAGUGAGACUCUACUGUAACUCCAAAACAGCUGUAUGGUAACUUCCAGGGGAAAAUAUACCAUAGAAUUAUCUGGAGGAUACAGCAAAUUUCUAAUGAGAAAAUUUCUUCCCAGGUGCAUGUAAGUGAACCCACAAAGUUUGAGUUUCAUAGUUAUAAGGGUCUUUCUCUAUCUCUCUAUCUCUGUGUGUUUCACAACAAUACUACAAACAAUAUGUUACAUUUGAUACAUAUUAAUUGUCCCCAAAGACAUUCAAUCCAGUACUAGUUUAGGACUUGUUUGCUGGACUCAUUUGCUUGUGUUGCUCAUUGCAACAUUUUCAUGCAACCAUAAAGCCAUAAAUAAUAAUACAAAAAUAAAAUAGAUUGAAAUGCAAUAACAACAUUAGAUCACAAAUAUUACCCUCUUUCUGCCCUCCUAAAUACAUACUGUAACUUAAAAUACCAGUCGCUUAUUCAAGGUGAAAUGGGCCCAACACUUAGUGUUUGCUCCCUCUUUUUUCUGAACUCAGCCAUCAAGUAUAAUAUGAGUCCCAUGUACAUGGCACCAGUAACUGUGGUUUCACUAUCUACUUCAACAUUUUGCCUAUUUACAAAAUGCUGUAAGUCACCCCGAGUCCUUUCGGGGAGAUGGGGCAGGGUAUAAAUAUGGAUUAUUAUUUGAAACACAAGUUGAGUCCACAGCAGACACUCUUCUGGCUGUUGUAUUGGAUCACACACCGGACACUUCCCAAGUGUCUAGGACUGUGUGAUGUAUUGGUGAAUAAUGUAUGCAGAUCCCAGUAAGGUGGCCUUCUGCAGCUGGCAGAUGGUAAUUUUGUCAGCGCCGAUUGUGUUUAAGUGCAGGCCAAGGUCUUUAGGCACUUCACCCAGUGUGCUGAUCACCACUGGGACCACCUUGACUAGCUUGUGCCAGAGUCUUUGCAAUUCAAUCUUUAAAUCCUCAUAUCGUGUCAGCUUUUCCAGGUUGUUGUUGUUGUUGUUGUUGUUAUCAUUACUAGUACUAGUACUACUACUAGGCAUUUUCAAGGCACUUCAGUGUGUUUCUGUGGUAUUGUUGGACUGGAAGUCCUUCAUUUGAAUAGAAUUUGCUGUUUAUAUCUGGUUUUGCAUGUCCGCAUGCCAUCUUGAAACACAUACUCUGCAGAUGUGCGCUUAUACUGUACAGCCCUUUCCUUAAGACCGCCCAAACAAACAAGUUGUAGUGGUUACACAAAUACUCUGCUAUAAACUCUGUUCUAUCCUUUUCAGCCCUUAACUUUGCCUUCAAAAUGUUGUUUGAUGUUUAGCCCCCAGUGUUCUUCAGCCCUGGUGCUGGCUAUGGCUAUAUAAUGUCCUUUCUUCUCCUGAGCCCAAAGAGUUGGUUUUCAGGAAGGAGGAAGAGGAGGCCAUCAAUGCUUUGCUAGGUCUCCCCAAAAAAGGCUGUUUCUCCCAAGUGAUGGGUAGGAAAGAUCAGAAUCACUAUACGGGAUAUCAUACCUUGUGACAGGAGAAAUAGUUUUCCACUCUGAAUUCUGCAGCUUGUUGAUCAAUUCACAAUCCAACAACUACUGUAGUCACACUCUGCAAAGACUAUAGGUCUACCUUGAUCUUUCCUUCCCUACAACUUGUGGAUGCUGGCAAGUAUUUGAACAUAAAUUAGGUUGGCAUGAAUAUGUACAUACAUAUGGUUGUCAUUUCUACUUGGACUUUUAGUUUCAGACAUAUGGAUUGUUCACUUUAAUCAAGAGGCUUCAUCUCUGACUAUUCAGUACUUCCUAAUAUUAUUUUGAACUGUUUCUUUAAAUAUCUUUGUUUGCUUGUUUCCCUUCACCUCUGCCCCUCCUUAUUUGUUAUUGGAUUACUAUGAUUUAGUGCAAAAUAGGAGACACAAAUGGAUUGGACAGAAACUGUUCUCAAUUGGCCUAGUUUUAUAUGCAAGAAUUUUAGUAGGGAUGCUCCCAAACUGAAAACUUGUCCUGUCCCAGGUCUUUUUGCACUUGUCAGUUGCAUCAGUCAAAGAAGGUCCAGGGAAAAUUAUUUUUAGGAUCACAGCUCCCAGAAUCAACCUACUUGGCUGACUGCAGAACUCUGGGUAUAUGCUGGCAGGGAAAAUCUGAGUUUCAAUCCUAAAAUGUACUUUUCCAUGCUCCACUUGAGUCAAUAUAACUUCAGUCUUUGGAGAAUGCUUUUGGUAUACUUUGCAGACUUUGAAUAAGUUUAGGUUUUAAAAUGCUAAGCAAUACAAACAACACUGAGGCAUUUUAUAUCACUUAAAUCAAGGCACUUGUGCCUUUUCAGACAUUGCUGGACUACAACUCACAUGGGGAGUCACCAACAAAUUAACAAGGGUUGCUGGGAGUUGCAACCCAGUAGCAUUUGAGGAAACAGUUGGUUUUAGAUCCAGGUUUUAGUUUUUUUUCUUUCUUCUAUAUGGGUCACCUUCCAUUCUGUUAUAAAUAUUAAUAACAGUUGGGUGCUAUUUAACAUCUACAUGAAACUGCUAGUUGAGAUCAUCCGGAGUUUUGGAGUUCGGUGACACUCAACUCUACUACUCUUUUCCACCUAAAGCCAGGGAAGCCAUUCAGGUCCUGAGCCAGUGCUUGGCAGCUGUUAUGGGCUGGAAAGGCUAACAAAUUCAAACUUUAUCCUGACAAGACAGAGGUCUUCUUGCUCAGUUGUGGGACCGAUUGAGGUAUAGGGUGGCUUACUGUGCUCGACAGGGUCAUAUUCUCCCUGAAGACUUAGGUCCGCAGUCUGUGGGUCCUCCUGGACUCAGCGCUGACUUUUGAAGCUCAGGUGUCAGCGGUGGCCAGGAUGGCUUUCACACUAUUAAAACUUGUGUGCCAGCUGCACCUGUACCUCGAAAAAGCUGAUCUGUCCACACUAGUCCACACCUUAGUUACAUCUCAGAUGGAUUACUGCAAUGCAGUCUCUGUGGGGCUGCCUAUGAAGACAGUUUGGAAACAUUUUCUUUUGUGUCAGGGGUGACUCGAGAAAAUGCAAGUCACUUCUGGUGUGAGAGAAUUGGCUGUCUGCAAGGACGUUGCCCAGGGGAUGCCCAGAUGUUUUGAUGUUUUAUCAUCCUUGUGGGAGGCUUCUCUCAUGUCCCCUCAUGAAGCUGAGGCUGAUAGAGGGAGCUCAUCAGCACUCUCCCCGGGUUGGAUUCGAACCGGCAACCUUCAGGUCAGCAACCCAACCUUCAAAUCAGCAGUCCUUCAAAUUCUUCAGGUUCUUCAAGUUCGGAAACUGCAAUUAGUGCAAAGAGUGGCAGACAGAUUUCUGACAGGAGCUGACAACAGGGAGCACGUCACUCUCUUGUUAAAGCACUCCCACUGGCUGCCUGUGUGUUUCCGGACCCAAUUCAAAAUGCAGGCUAUCACCUAUAUAGCUCUUUAUGGUUCAGGUCCAGCCUAUUUACGUUACUGUGUCUCCCCCUAUGAACCUAUUCGUGCCUUAAGGCCCUCACAAGUGCAGCUGGUGGAAAUGAGGGAGAGGGCCUUCUCAGGGGUGGCCCCCAAAAAAUUAGCUAGACCCCCUCUAGCCACCUUUAGAAAAGAACUGAAAACAUGGACAUGGAAGUAGGUGUUUGGAAAUGAUUAAUUAUAACUUAUCAAGAUGGUGAAUUGUUUUUUGCUGUGGUGUACAAUAUAAUCCAGGAGCCCCGGUGGCGAAGUGCAUUAAAGCACUGAGCUGCUGAACUUGCAGACCGAAAAGUCCCAGGUUCAAAUCCCGGGAGCGGAAUGAGCGCCCGCUGUUAGCCCCAGCUCCUGCUAACCUAGCAGUUCGAAAACAUGCCAAUGUGAGUAGAUCAAUAGGUACUGCUCUGGCGGGAAGGUAACGGCACUCCAUGCAGUCAUGCCGGCCACAUCAUCUUGGAGGUGUCUACGGACAACGCUGGCUUUUCGGCUUAGAAAUGGAGAUGAGCACCAACCCCCAGAGUUGGGCAUGACUGGACUUAAUGUCAGGGGAAAACCUUUACCUUUUACUACAAUAUAAUCCAGCAGAAUUAUAAAUGAUUAAUUUUAUUAUGAUAUUGUUAUUUUUAGUUCUUAGCUUGUUUUGCUUUGAUAUUGUUGUUCAUGUAUUUAUUCUAUUUUUUGUUUUGGUUUUGUACUGUGACUUAUUUUUGUAAGCUGCCCCCUGUCCUGUUUGGAGAGUGGGCGGGAUAUAAAUAAAGUUUAUUAUUAUUACAGUAGAGUCUCAGUUAUCCAACAUAAACGGGCUGGUAGAACAUUGCAUAAGGGAAAAUAUUGGAUAAUAAGGAGGGAUUAAGAAAAAAGCCUAUUAAACAUAAAAUUACAUUAUGAUUUUACAAAUUAAUCACCAAAACAUCAUGUUUUACAACAAAUUGACAGAAAAAGCAGUUCAAUACACAGUCAUGUUAUGUAGUAAUUACUGUAUUUACGAAUUUAGCACCAAAACAUUGCAACAUUUACUACAAAAACAUUGACUACUAAAAGGCAGACUGUGUUGGAUAAUACAGAACAUUGGAUAAGUGAAGCUUGGAUAAGUGAGACUCUACUGUAUUAUUAUUAUUAUUAUUAUUAUUAUUAUUAUUAUUAUUAUUAUUAUUAUUAUUAUUAUUAUUCAGAUAGCCAUAUCUCAGAUUCUUAAUUCAAAAUAUUUACAAGACCUCUGCAUUCUCCUGAAGCUUCUUUGCUUCUGUUUUCAAAGUGUGCAGCUUUGAUCUGGAAAGUAUCUAAUUAAAAAUAGUUUAUCAUGUUAUCCAGACUUUGAAACAAUGAGUACCUUUUUUUAAAAAAAAAUGCCAAGAUAUUAAACCAUGAUUUGAAGUUUGUUUAACAGCCAAGUUUGUUCUAAAGAUAUGGUUAAUGAUUCAUUCUGGUUUAAUUGCAAAAGGAAAAAGCUCAACUACGUCUUGGUUAAAUGAGGUGAGAGAAGAUAACCUCAACUGACACAUUUUUCUUAUAAACAUAUUAAAUCACCCAGCUGGGCAACAAAGUGACAGUGCAUUGAUUUCUGGCUUCCCUUUUUGAAACAUCUCUUGCCAUCCCCACAAUGCUUUCUAUUUUAUUAAGAAGGCUUUUGGAAUGGUAAAACAUGCAUAAUCUCUCACUAUGAAAUUGUUUUGCUCUUUUGAGGGCUCAGAUCAGCUGAUGCAGCCAAGUGACUGUUCAGCAUAUAUUUAUCAUUGUGAGGGGAGGUCAUUACAUAAUCAAUAACAAGGUUUUAUUACGUAAUGUGGGGUGGUGGAAAAAAAUUACAAUCCGACAUCUUUUUGACAACAUGUUAUUGGUAGCCUUCUACUUAUCGUCAUAUGAGCACAGGCACCCCCAGAUUGGUGCCUUCCAAAUUUGUUGGACAGCAAUUGGGAUGUUAGGGAAUGAUGGAAGUUGUAGUCCAUUCCAUUUGGAAGGCAGUAGGUUGAAGGAGGUUGUGUCUUGAUUUUUUCUGUAUUCCUUAGGUUCUGUAGCUGCCUUUGAAGACCCUAUUCCAGGGGUCCCCAAACUUUUUAAACAGGGGGCCAGUUCACAAUCCUUCGGACUGUUGGAGGGCCAGACUAUAGUUGGCCACCGAGCAAUAAUAAUAAUAAUAACAACAACAAAAACAGCAAUAAUAAUAAUAAUAAUAAUAAUAAUAAUAAAGAGGGUUGGAAGAGACCCCUUAGGCCAUUGAGUCCGACCCCGUUCUGCCUCUGGCACAAAAAACACAAGCAAAGCACCCCUGACAGAUGGCCACCCAGCCUCAAUGUUAAUAAUAAUAAUAAUAAUAAUAAUAAUAAUAAUAAUAAUAAUAAAGAAGGUUGGAAGAGACCUCUUGGGCCAUUGAGUCCAACCCCCUUCUGCCUCUGGCACCAAAAGCACAAGCAAAGCACCCCUGACAGAUGGCCACCCAGCCUCAAUGUUAUUAUAAUAAUAAUAAUAAUAAUAAUAAUAAUAAUAAUAAUAAUAAUAAAGAGGGUUGGAAGAGACCCCUUGGGCCAUUGAGUCCAACCCCCUUCUGCCUCUUUGCACCAAAAGCCCAAGCAAAGCACCCCUGAUAGAUGGCCACCCAGCCUCAAUGUUAAUAAUAAUAAUAAUAAUAAUAAUAAUAAUAAUAAUAAUAAUAAAGAGGGUUGGAAGAGACCUCUUGGGCCAUUGAGUCCAACCCCCUUCUGCCUCUUUGCACCAAAAGCAGAUGCAAAGCACCCCUGAGAGAUGGCCACCCAUCAAUAAUAAUAAUAAUAAUAAUAAUAAUAAUAAUAAUAAUAAUAAUAAUAAUAAUAAAGGUUGUAAGAGAAGAAGAGACCCCUUGGGUCAUUUAGCCCAAUCCCCUUAUGCCCUUGUGCCUUGGGGGCCGGAUAAAUGGCUUCGAUGGGCCACAUCCGGCCCCCGGGCCUUAGUUUGGGAACCCCUGCCCUAUUCCUUUAGUUUUCUUUUUUAGCCCUGUUGUUUUCUGACAUCUCUGGAAUUCUUAUCUGAGGGUAGCAAUUAUGUCAGUAUCAUAAUCAGGAUUUUCAUUGCGAUUUUAAUGUCAGUUCUAGCUGUAUACUCUCCCUAUGGCAAAUGGCUUGAAACACAAAGAUGCCAUUUACCAUUCUUUACAUAACCUUGUCACGCUUUAUUUUAUAUGCUGGUCUAAGACAAAGACAUUUUGGAAUGACAUGCAUAAUACGAUCUUGCCUGGUGGUACAAGAGGAGUGUGCUCUUAGAUCCCUUGUAAUCUUGUUGGUUCAUUUGGAGGAGUUUGUUUCAGAUCAAAGGCAGUGAAUCUGGAACCUACAAACCACUGCAAGAAUUUGGGUGGUGAAAUAUUUUGGUGGUAUAGACAAAAUAAGUUUUUCUUUAAAUGUCAGAGAACCCAUUUGUUUAAUAAGAACUUACAAGUAUUGGCUAGAUGGCCUGACUUAGUAUGAGAUUGCAUCCUAUGAAAUACAAGGCUAGGUUAUCUAUUAAGUGUAGUUUUAUUAACUGUUCCAUUGUAAAAACAAUGCUCCAGGCAGCUCAGAACAUAUGAAAACAAUAAAAGAUAUUAAAAACAAUAAAUAUUAAAAGAUAUUAAAACAAUAAAACAACCUUCAGAAAAAUACAAAACAAAAGAGAAGCACAGAAGAUAAAACUAGUGUAAUUUGAGAAAUGCUGAUGUCCAGUAUGGUUAUUAUUUUUCUGUUAUUGUUUUCAUUGAAAAUGUUUUUAGUCUUUAGUAUGACUUCUGAGAAUUGUCAUGUGUUAUGAUUGAAGUGCUUCCUUGGUGUCUCUACAAUGGAGAGGGAUUGUGCAGUUAUUUUUUGCAAAGCUUAUAAUACAACUUCUACCCUCCCGAUACAGAAGCUGACUAAUUGUCAGCUGAAUCUUAAUUUGACACUAGUCACAGCUCCGCAGUUCAUCUGAGGCUAACAGGGUAGCUGUGCAUGUGUCUGUUUGCAUCUGUCUGCAUCUGUGUGAUGUGACACAUAUUUUUUGUCUUCCAGCCCCUUUCCACUGUUUUGUUCCUCCCAUAGUCCACUGUCAACGGUGGUUGACACACUCUUCUUUAUGGUAUGGGCAGCCCUACUUAUUUUGUGAAAGACUGUAAAUCAGUUAUAUUUUAAUACAGACAAGUCUCCUUUUUCCAGAACCAAAAUUCUUUGCCUUUGAGGAAAGGGGGUAAUUUCACAUAGAGAUCUCCCUUUUCUCAAGGAGUUGUCACUCUAUCACAGUCUUAAAGGAGGAGAAUCUGAAUUCUGCUACUGGAUUUACACAAAUCCCCUGUAAAAGUUGUUAAUGUGGGAUUUGUGUAUUGAUAGUGUUUAAAUGCAAUUGUGUCAUGCUUGUAUUGCAACUGAUUGCAUCAUCCAGAAUGUACCAUAGUGUGGAAAGAGUUAAUUGCCAAGAAGCUGUGAUGACCUUGAUGUGUGGCUGGAACUAGGGAGUAUCCAGACACAAGUGUGUGUGCUUAUUGAUUGCAUCAGUUCAGUCAAGAUCUGUCUGCCUAGGAGUUGAGUUCUGUCUGCCUAGAGUUUGAGUCCUGUGUUCAUCUGUCAUCUGUUAGUCUGUUAGUCUGUUUCAGAUUCCACCUGAACAUCAGGAAGAACUUCCUCACUGUGAGGGCUGUUCGACAGUGGAACUCUCUCCCCCGGGCUGUGGUGGAGGCUCCUUCCUUGGAGGCUUUUAAGCAGAGGCUGGAUGGCCAUCUGUCAGGGGUGCUUUGAAUGCGAUUUCCUGCUUCUUGGCAGGGGGUUGGACUGGAUGGCCCAUGAGGCCUCUUCCAACUCUACUAUUCUAUGAUUCUAUGAUUCUAUACAGUAAAACUUUGUAAAUAGUUUUACCAACAUCUCUGAGUGUCUCUUCGUUCUGCGCUCCACUGAUUCCAUUCAACUACUGCUGCGCUGCUAAUACUCUGACAAAAGUCAGUGGAAGGAAAAGGCCAUCUGCAUCCAUCUGUUGUGGGCUCAGGGAAUGUCUGCAUUGCAAAACCACAUUGUAUUUUCCUUUUGCUUGCUCAAAAGUGGGCUGGACACCCUGGAAAUGGUGCAGAUUGGCUGUAGAGCCAGAGCUAUGCAACAGUUCCUAAGUCCACAGCAGCUUGAUGCAUUUGAACAUUUCUCUUCCUGACGGUCUGCUCUUUAAAAGAAAUUGGUAUACGUUCAGAAGCAGAACCCAGAGUCUUCACCCCUUCUUUUAUCCCCAUCAAAUUUCAUACUGUGAUGGAGAAAAAGUGUGGGCUGAAUGUGAAGUUAACCCUCCUCCUCAAAGGUCGAAGGAGCAGUAAAGAGUUUGGAGUCCCCUUCCCUUUCCCCCAUCAAAUUUCCAACAGUGAUGGAGCAACCUUGAGUAAAACUCAGUGGGAGCUGGAUUUGAAACUAGCUCCUUCCCUCGCUUUUCUCAUUCACUACGAACUACAGGCAUUCCAAAAUUGAAAAACAUCUAACAUCCAAAAAACCGCUGGCCUUAAGCAUUUCACAUUGAACUGUAAUAGUGUGGAAGCAGGGUUCAAAGCCCCAGGACUGUUUUAUUAGCAAAGAAUAUUAUAUCACUUGCUAACCCACUUGGAUUUCCUUUUAUAUUUUUCAAACCAGGUUUAAAGGCAAAAGGAACAGAGGUUUAUUGCUUUCAGGCCCUAAAGGAUGUCUGAUACAGAGUCUGUGCUUAAAAAGAAUUGGGCAUAGCCAUGCAAUACAGUGCAAGACAUGUUAUCCUCUUUGACAGCCAUUCAAAAUCCUCACUGCAGUCUCCACACUAAAUGGAGGGAAAGUGUAUUUUUCCAGCAGCAGUUGACUGCUAUUUCUGUUGCACCUCCCUAAACUUCAUAGAAUGUGGCCAUGGCCAUUAAAGUGGAGUCACAGAGCUAUUUAUUUAUUUUAUUUAUUUACAGCAUUUAUAUUCCACCCUUCUCACCCCGAAGGGGACUCAGGGCGGAUCACGUUACACAUAUAGGCAAACAUUCAAUGCCUUUUAACAUAGAACAAAGACAAGACAAACAUAGGCUCCGAGCGGGCCUCGAACUCAUGACCUCCUGGUCAGAGUGAUUCAUUGCAGCUGGUUUCAGCUGGCUUGCUCUCCAGCCUGCACCACAGCCCGGGCCACAGCCCAGAGCUACAGUUCUGCAGGGUCAAAAGGCACCAGAAGUGUUGUGUAUUACAAAAUGUCCUACGUUGACAGAAAGCCCUGAAACACUUACCUGGUAGUAACAGCAACACAAAGCCACAAGAAGAUGGGAUCUUUAAAUCUCCAACUAUGCUGCUGAUGUGCCUUUGUUCUAGGGCAGUGAUUGUUAAUCUUUGGUUUUCCAGGUGUUUUGUACUCCUGCUCCCAGUUGACCAGGGAUUCUGUGAUAUCAAGAAUCAAACCCCAAAUUAUGAAUUAUUAUUUGUGUCUCCAUUAGAAAAUAUAGCCAGUUACACGGUCAUUUCUAAUGGCCUUAAAAAGUAACCUUUCCAUGAAAUUCCUUGAAAAUUCCCCAGAACGUAAACUCACUUGACUUUUACCUCAUCCUCGCCCAGAGAAAAUCCCCACACAAUGAAUUAGGAAGAAUGGGAAAGGGACAUACAAUGAAUUUGAGUCAGAGCCUUUCUUUCAUCCACCUGGCAUGAUAUGGUCUGGGCUAGUCUGGGAAUAUUCCCUUUUCUCAGACCUUAUUUCAGCUCCUGGGGAGAUUUCUAACCAGUACCUGAGAGCACCUUGUUGUGUGUUAACAUUUAUUUAUUUAUUUAUUUAUUUAUUUAUUUACAGUAUUUAUAUUCCGCCCUUCUCACCCCGAAGGGGACUCAGGGAGGAUCACAUUACACAUAUAAGGCAAACAUUCAAUGCCUUAACAUAGAACAAAGACAGAGACAAACGCAGGCUCCGAGAUGGCCUCAAACUCAUGACCUCUUGGUCAGAGUGAUUUGUUGCAGCUGGCUGCAGCUGGCUGCUCACCAGCCUGCACCACAGCCUGGGCCUUCAUCCCAUUGUGUCCACCAGAACCAAACCAUUAAGCCCAUCAUGAACGCAUUGGAAAUUGCCACACCACAUUCCUUUCUCAUUGUGCCCCUCUCAUAGGUGAAGCAAUAAAUGGUCUAACUCUUAAAAAUAACCCAAUCACAGUUUAUUAAAUUUCUUGUCACUGCAAAGAUCCAACCAGAAAUUAUGAUGGACACAGCCCUGAAAGGAUCCUAGUCAGACACUUUUUGGACUAAUCAGGAGCUAGGUUUCUUGAAUAACUAUCAAAUGAAAUAAAAAUACCCUGUAUUAGCAGUUGCAGUAUGUCAGUACUUUGGAGUGCUUUCUCCGCUGACAUCCUCUCUGGCCAUUGAGAAUAAACAUCUGAUUUUGCCCUCCAUCCAUCCUGUCUGCUUUGGCCUUCUGAAAAGCUAUACAUGCCGGGCCUUCCAAACUCGCAAUUUUAGUGGAGCUGAAAUCACUAGGAGUUGAAAUCUCAAACACCUGGAGGACCAAAAGUUGGAACCAUUAGUCUAGGUCAGUGGUUCUCAACCUGUGGGUCCCCAGAUGUUUUAGCUUUAAACUCCCAGAAAUCCCAACAACUCUUAAAGUAGCUGGGAUUUCUGGGAGUUGUAGGCGAAAACGCCUGGGGACCCACAGGUUGAAAACUUCUGGUCUAGGGCUUUGUGGGAAGUUAAAGUGGUAGCCAAAAUGGUCAGUUUUGUGUUGCCAAGUCUUUGGUAGCUUCAGGAUUUUUGGUUUGUGUACUUUCUCAUGGAGGAGAGAAAAAACAGCCAGGUUUUUUUUUUUUACACUGGUGUCUAUCAAAGCAAGAAAGGCUUGAUCUUUCUUUUGUACUCAGUACCUACACUUUAAGUAGAUUUGACUUCUCAGCUGCAUCGGCUUUUAAGAACUAUCAUGUUUCUCCUGUGCAGGAAUCAGAGCUCAUUACUGGGUCGCUGUAAGCGUAAUAAAUAUGGAUGAGGCCUUGAUUAUAGAAAUGCAUGAAUAAUUGAAAUCAACAACUGCACUGCUGUGACCAGAGGGUGUUUUAUCAGUGGAUCUUUGACUACUAGGCGCGAUAGAUGUGGUGCCAGUUUGGAAAUUUGAAUUCAUCCAGAAGCUCUUCAUGAAAAUACUUCCACCGGCACCUCCAAAUCUGAUCUCCAUCAAGAGAGCAGAAUACCUUUAUAAAGUGAAUAGUGGAAGCACCAGGUUGAAAAUAAUAAACUUAGCAUGCCAGGUAUUGACAGUCUGAUUUGCCUUCAUCAGGAAUCUCCUGCAUGUAGAAAUCAGGUCACAAAGAAAGGUUCAGGGUUUUCUGUGGUAGUUUACAAUGGCUUAGUGCUGAACUUGUGAUUGUUGAAGAAAAUAAACACUCUGUAAUGAGUGAUUAAGCAAAAAGAAUGUUUAGUUUAUUGUUGCAGGAAAUCCAAUGUAGGAUGAUAACCUUACACUUAUCCACACUGCAGAAUUACUGCCAUGGCUCAAUGUUAUGGAACAUUGUGUUUUCUCUAGGUCCUGCAGCAUUAUGAAUCCCACUCUCUUCUCUUAAUGAGACUCAAAUGCAAGCAGCUCACAACCCUAAAAGUAGUUGAAGUUACAUUAAAAAACCUACAAUACAUCAACAUGGAAUUAAACAGAAGAGUUAAAAAUAAAUGUUUGCUAUUUGUUUCUCUCUUUUAUUACUCUCUCUUCCUCUCACAAGUUCUAGUCUGAAAUAAACAGUGUAACAUCCUCGAUGAGAGAAGCUGCUUGAUUAGAGCCUGCACUGGCUGACCUAGAGGUUCCUAAAGAGAAUAUUUUAAUUAAAUUUGCAAACAGUCAUAUCCUCAAAAGCCAAAUCCACAAAUGUGGAGGGCCAACUGCAGUUUCUGCAUGCAUUGGUGUUCUAUUUAAAUAGUUAUACAUCCCAGGAAACCUUUAGGAAAGGGUGGACAGCUGUCUCCAUUAGGAAGAAUUUUGAUGAAUGUUUUGCUAGAAUGUUGUUUGCAUUCUAGACAAUACAGAUUUUGCUGAAUGACAUGUCAUUUAAGCAAUGGUAGAAGAGUUUGUCAAAGUUUAUAUGGCAAGGGAAGAAGUCAUGGACUAAAUAUAAAGCUCCACUGCAGAACUUUCCAAACUGUGUCGCAACGCGUUGGUGUGUCAGCUGCAGUAUGUAAAUAUGUCACUUAAACUUAACAAGAAAUGAUAAAAAUCCUGAAAAUGUAUAUUAUUAUUUUACAAAUCUUUUAUUUUAAAAAAUAUACAGGAAAGUAUUUCCUGAGAUAUGUUAUGUCACCAUAAACUUGGUUAUUAAGAGUUCUUGUAUGGGUCCAUAUCUCUUAUGUGGUUGGUGGUUUAACCUUCGGUUUGCUAGUAAAACAGAAUGACUGUGUCACAAAAAGUGUGUUUGGAAAGUUCUGUUCUAUAGGAUGCAAAAGAAAGGGAGAAACUGGGUUUACAGGAUUUGAAAUUUUAAUUUUUCUGUAUGUUGUUUGGCUUGAUUAAAAUAAGAUGGUGGACCCUUGGUAUCCCCUGUGAUUUCAUUUUCCCCGUGGAUACCAAGAUCCAGGGAUGCUCAAGUCCCAUUAUGUACAAUACAUAAUAAAAUGGUUCCCUUCUAUAAAAUGGCAAAAUCAAAGAUAUAGUAGGUAAAGGUAAAGGUUUUCCCCCUGAUAUUAAAUCCAGUCAUGUCCGACUUUGCGAGUCAGUGCUCAUCUCCAUUUCUAAGCUAAAGAGCCAGCAUUGUCUGUAGACACCUUCAAGGUCAUGUGGCCGGGAUGACUGCAUGGAGCUCUGUUACUUUCCCACCGGAGCAGUACCUAUUGAUCUACUCACAUUUGCAUGUUUUCGAACUGCUAGGUUGGCAGAAGGUAGGGCUAACAGAGGCUGCUCACUCUGCUCCCCGGAUUCGAACCUGCAACCUUUUGGUCCGCAAGUUCAGCAGUUCAGCACUUUAACAAGCUGCGCCACCAGGGGCUCCACAAGGAUAUCUGUCUGUCUAUCUAUCUAUCUAUCUAUCUAUCGAUCUUUAUAUCUAUAUUCCAAUGAGGCAAAUUAAGUGGUUGCUUUGGGCACAAAACAUAUGGGGCCGCCGCAGUCGAGACUGCUUUUUCUGUUGAAUAAUAAUAAUAAUAAUAAUAAUAACUUUAUUCUUAUACCCCGCCCCAUCUCCCCGAAGGGACUUGGGGCGGCUUACAUGGGGCUAUGCCCAGACACAACAGCACAAAAUCAAAACAAAAGCAAUAAACAAAUCACCCAACAAUAAAACAUCAACAUGGGGGCGCAGUCGAGACUGCUUUUUCUGUUGAUUAAUAAUAAUAAUAAUAAUAAUAAUAAUAAUAAUAAUAAUAAUAACAACAACAACUUUAUUCUUAUACCCCGCCCCAUCUCCCCGAAGGGACUCGGGGCGGCUUACAUGGGGCUAUGCCCGGACACAACAGCACAAAAUCAAAACAAAAGCAAUAAACAAAUCACCCAACAAUAAAACAUCAACAUGGAUAAAAACAGUCAUAAAAAAGUCAAUAUACAAAAUAAUGUUAAAAACAUGAGUUGGAUCAAAAGAUCUGGGCAAGGUGCAGAAAAAAUGUCAAGUCAUCAGGGAGGGGUAAUUGUAAAACAUGAUGUUUUGGUGCUUAAUUUGUAAAAUCUUAAUGUAAUUUGAUGUUUAAUAGGCUUUUCCUUAAUCCCUCCUUAUUAUCCAACAUUUUCGCUUAUCCAACGCUUUUAUUUUUCAGUGAUUGGUUUGGGGGGGGGGAUGCCAAAAUUCUGUUUGCCUACACUUGAAAAAUACCUACCUCUGUCUAUAUCUAUAUAGCUAUAUCUAUACAUAUACACAGGAUAGUUGAAACGCAGAGAUCAAGCAUCUGUUGAUGCAGUGGACCAGCUAUAUGAGAUGAACACUGUGCUCUAAAGCAUCUAUUAAAUUAGUGACAGAGGCAAGUGUUGAUCUGGAAGCUUUUCUUGAUUCAUAAGUUAGAGUUUCAGCCCUUCUGCUGCCUCAUCUGUGGGAGGCAAGAAUGAAUGAGUGGACACAGUUUGGAUGGUGGACCCGCUCCUCUUCCCAGCUGCCUCUUUGCUGUGUACACUUAUCAUUAAAGCAAGUGCCUGGUAUUUCAGCUUAGAGAGCUCUACUCUGGAAUGACAACAGAGGCAAGGGAUUUGCAGGCAGCAAUAUAAGUGUGUGUUUGUGCGGGAGAGGAGUAUGUGUGUGCCUGCUUGUGCGUAAAACUGCCUCUAUAAAACAUCAUUUUGUGUCCAGCGGGAAUUAAUGCGCUGCAAAUAGCUGUAAUCAUCUUACGCAGUAUUAGGUAAAAAUCUAAUCUCUGUCGGUUUUUCUAAAACUCAGAUAAACCCUGCUGCUAAAGAAUGACACAUCUCUCCGCUCUUUUUGAAGCAUAGCACAGCGAUGUACUUUCUCAUGCUUGUGUUUUCCAAGUGGAACGCUGAAUUAGGUUACUAGCAUCUGUGUCAGCUUUGUCCUGGUACAUUAGUCUCCAGUUGAAAAACAAACAAACCCAAUCUAUGGAUGCUUGUGUUUUGUGGAAUCUCUAUUUUUUUUUGUUCUUUUAAGCAGAUAAAGUAAAUAAACUUUCAUUUGUCUGAAAUGUUUGGAGCCAGAAGUGAUUUUGGAUUUUAGACCAUGUUGUGUUUGGCAAUACCUGUAUUUUGUUUACAUACAUAAUGAGAAAUCUUGGAGAUGAAAACCAAGUGUAAACAACAACAUUCAUGUGUGUUUUAUAUGCACUUCACAGGCAUAGCUUGAAGGUAGAUUUAUGAAAUAUUUUAAAUUAUUUUGUGCAUGAAACAAAGUAUAAUGAGUACAAUGAACCAUCAGGAAGCGAAUGUUGACACUAUCUCAGUCACCCAGGACAAUUUCUCAAGCCAGCGUGGGAUGAAGUCCAUAGUCCUAUACCCUGUCUCUGACACACUUUGUCUAUUUGUACCUUCGGGCCCUAUGACUUGACUCAUGGUCGGUUUCAUAGGAAACCUGUAGGCACUCAUAGGCAAUACCUUUUGUAAAAUGAGACAUAAUAGACUUCACUCAUCUUUUAUUUCUUUAUGUGCAUCAGAGGCACAGCUCACCCUCUGUGCCAGUGAUGUGUCUUUUGCUGUGUGUUUUGAGGUUGGUCUUUUCAUCCUGCUCAAUUCUCCUUUGCCAAAAUGGUUGACGGUACUCGUCCAGUGGCAAAAAAAACCCCUGUAAGUAAAGCCACUGCUUUCCCUUAAUUGUUUCCUUUAAAAAAAAAGUUUAAAUGUAUGUAUGAAUUCGAGCAGAUUUGUAGGAAUAAAAGAGUUUUCAUUGUUUCUGCAUUGGGACAAAAGAACGGAGUUGUGCAAAUCUGCCAAUUUUUUUAAAAGGGGAAGACAGUGACAUAGAGGAACAUCAAACGGGUAGGGAGGAGUCAUCCCUCGGCUUGUGUGAUAAAUCAAAAACUCAUUAUUUGAUUAGAUAUGGAAUGGAGAGAAGCAGGUGUGAUGGGAAGGGUAUGUAUCCAGUCCUCAUCUAGACUUCUUAAACUGUCUACUCAAAAGGCGUUUUCUGUGGGUGUGUGAUAAGGUCCUCAGUUAACUCAGCAGGGCAAAGAGGAGGAGGAGACAGAGCCUUGCCCUUCCCAGCAGGCUUAGGCAAAAGCAAACUGCUGCAGCUUCUCCUAGUUUGUGUAUUCCUCCUCAUUAAGAACUUUUGCCAUCUUGGCCACACUUUGAAGUUGCUCUGUUUUCAUAUUGGGGGGGGGAUAUAAUCUACCUACACACAUAAUAAAUGUGAAAAUCUGUAUGUGUAUGUGGCACCGGUGUCCACUCACACAGACAGCCUCCGGCCUCCAGAAACAGGCUAUAGUUCCCAGUGCUGAGGAGCCGCCAAGUCACUCCCUCCCAGGACAUUGCAGGUUACAGCGAGCACAUCCCAGUGUCCCUUUCUCUCUUCAUUUGCAUGACCCCGCACACUUCCUCUCCCUUAACCCUUUCCUAUUCUUUUCUAUGGCACAAAGCAAACUGAGGAAUUGAUCAGCAACUGAACAUACUGGAGAGGUUUGGGGAGAAUUCACCAAGAUUUAUAGGAGUUGUACGGAAUGGGAUGUAUAGAUCACCUGCAAUCUAAAAGAACACUGAAUCCAGCAAGUGACAGAUCUGGACCAAACUUGGCACACAGGCCCAACAUGGCCCACUGUGAAUACUGGUGGACUUUGGGAGUGAUUGACCUUGGAUGCUGGGAAUUAUAGUUCACUCACAACUUCAGAGCACUCUGAAUCCAACAGAUGAUGGAAAAUAAUUAUCUUUUUAAUUUUUCCUUUAUAAUAGUGGUUUAUAGUGUGCUUAACCCCCAGCCCACUGCCCAAUCCUCUUUGGUCCUGAUGAACUCUUUUCAAAUAACCCACGCAUCGCUGGGUAGCCAGCGAUGCGUUGGGUGCUUGGGAACCCCCCUUCUUCUGGUGAAUCCAGCUUUCCGGAGCACAGUUGGCCCAGUUUUAUUUAAAAUUUAAUUAGAAUGGCUUUGAGACUGCAAUGUCUCACAAAAAUAGACAUGUGAAGAUGGAGCUCACUAGCUACAUGUUCCCCGCUGUUGUGGAAUGAUGGGAUGCUCAGAAGGAUCUUUUAUAGGGCUUCACUUGAGGCCAGUUUGUUAAGAAGAGAAGAGGGAAAAUGGAAGACAGCCAAUUGCAGGUGGGAAUUGCAGUCUAACAAAAUCUGAGUGGUCACACACACAUACACACACCUUUCCAGUCUAUAACUUAAACCAUGGAUCACUCUUGUUUUCCAGCUGAUAUGGUAUCCAACAGCAGUAUCUAAACUUCAAAGGAAUAUUUCAUCUUGUUUGCUGAAGUGGCUCUUUUCCUCCCCGAAUCCUUCCGAGAAUAUUAGGAAGGGGCCAUGGGCUGCUUAUCUAUUCUUUUCCAGCCUAGUUCUGCUUCUCCUGAUUAUCCCACGCAGCCAGAUUUCCUUUUUCUCUCUUUCCUUUUUCUGGAAACGAGUCCCUGUCAAAUGUGCAGGCAACGUCUGGCUCACCAGGGGCUGUGUUCUUGCAAGUCCCUGAUUUACAUCUGAAAACAUGUCAAGAAGAGGCAGAAUGGGGAAAACAUGCCUACUAGAAUGUAUAUUUUAUUUUUCUUUGGAGGCUGGAUUGUGUAAGAGAGGUUUGCAAGGAGGAGAAUGAAAACUGGGAGGCUUUUCAUAUUACAGUGUACCUUAAGGUCUCAUAGCUGCUGUGCAUUGGGGACAAGAUCACCUUGGGUUGUGUAUGUACUGCAUACAAAGUAAAGGUCCCCUUAUUUCAAUUUCCUGAAAUCAAUUUUGACUCCUUUGCUGGGAGUAUAAAAUGCUUAAUUUUGGCAAGGCUGUGUCCAUUAAUUCUUCCCUAUUGCAUGAUUAAUCUUGUAUCACUGUGAAAGGUAUGGAUGUCUUCCAACCAUCCCAGUUUGGUAGAGACCAUACUGAUUAUUCCUCUGUCAUCCCACUUUUUCAGUUGCUUUAAAAUGUCCCUGCUUUUGGUCUUCAGCUUCCUUCAAUUGCAUUCAAUUCAGCAAGGAGGAGAGGAGUGGGAAGAAUAAUUGCCAUUUCCAAUAGCCUCUCCUUUUCUUCAUUAAUAAUUUUUUGCUUUUUUAUGUUGUUUGGCCACACGUUCCCCAGUUUCCAUCUGUGAAAUAUGAAAUGUAUGAGUUUAUGGCCUUGACCAUAAUACAAAACUUGGGUCAGCUUUUAUUGUCGCUUUCCACUGAAUGUAGUCCUUUCUGGCACGUCCUGUGAAGCUGGGAAAAAAGAGAAGUCAUCAAGUAAUAUUUUUAGAUAAUCCUUUCUUGAAAUGCUGCUGAUGGCAUGAAAAUGACGUAAUAAAAGGACUAUAAAUCAUACCUAAACUUUGAUAAAUAAGUCUGGUGGGAUAAAUAAGGCUAGUGUGGCAUUUAAUCACAUGAGAAACUCUUCAUAAAGUGGAGGAGACAUAUACAAAAAUUAUUAUGUAUGUGAUCCUGAUACAAUCUGGAUCUCUGAAACUGGGGAAAGAUCUCAGUCUAGUGGGUAGAGAACAUGCUUUUACAUUAAAAAGCCCCAGGUUCAGUCCUUAAUAUCUCUCUAUGCUGUCACACCCAGGCACCUUUUAAAGCUUUAAGAUGUGCUUCUUCCUUUGCCCAGGUGAACUGCGGGGGCCUUACUUAGAAGUUCUGGAAAUCCCAGUAACCAAAGGCAUUUCAAGUUGAACAAUCAAACAAAAUUUUAUUUUCACAAAGUCCUUGGCGGACUUGGCACACGUAAUUAAGGUUGCAAAUAAAAAUAGCCAACUUAUAAAACCUUGCAGAUGUUCCUUUCUUGCUUUUCCCCUUUAGUUGCUGGGUUAACUUCCACCAAAGGCGAAGAGAUCCUGAGAUCAUCUACCCCAGCCCUGAGCUGCUAUCAAAAAAGCAGGUCUAUCUAUAUAUAUAAAAGAGUGAUGGCAUCAGGGCAGCGGACAAAACAACAAAACUACAGGCCCCCCCAACCUCGAAAUUUGACAACACAACCCAUCAUCCACGCCUCUAGGUUGAUACAACAAAAAUAAAAUAAAAAUAAAGUCCUAAUUACAGGGAGAGGAAUAAUAGUUUUUAUCCAAUUGCUGCCAGUUUGAAGGCUAAGCUCCGCCCACUUGGUCUCCUAGCAACCUACUCAGCCCAGGGGACAGGCAGACUUAGGCCUCACUUAGGCCUCUUCCACAGAUUAUCAGAUUUUAACUGGAUUAUAUGGCAGUGUAGACUCAAGGCCCUUCCACACAGCUAUAUAACCCAUUUAUAAUCUUAUAUUAUCUGCUUUGCACUGGAUUAUCUUGAGUCCACACUGCCAUAUAAUCCACUUCAGUGUGCAUACUAAACAUAAAGACAACCAUACAACAGACAUUCAAUACCACCACUACCUCAACAAUUUCUCACCAACACCACCAGACAACACCACAGCAACGUGUGGCCGGGCACAGCUAGUCACUAUAUAAGCUCAAAGCUAGUCUUUGAGGUGAAGUUGGUAGGGCUCCUUCCAGUGGCAAAGAAAUCCGGAGAUGUUCUCUGCCCCAGUGCUAAGCUACUAUUUUUAGAAAGAGCAGGUCUUUCCCUAUUUAUGCUCAGCACUGGUUUUAAAGGCAGGUCAGUACUUACGAUGGCUUUGUCAGAGUUGGCCUGGCUUGGUCACACAAACACAUCUAAGUUCUUUCUUCUUCAGUCUAGAAGGCAAGAGGCUUCUCAAAAUGGAGCCUUCUUUCCCCAGGAAAAGGGGUGGUCUCCAGAACAAUAAGAUACAUUUGCAGGCUGCAAGCAGAAAAGCUUUGCAAACAGGCUACAAACUCUGCUAAUGGCUAAACUAUUAGGUUGCUGCAGAAUCUGCAACAGCCCUGGAAGAAAUGUAAACAGGUGCUAUUCCUGCAACUAUGGGCAACUUGUAAAAUCAAAACCCUGGGAGAUGGAACACUCUCCAUUCCUACCAUGACUUGACAUUGUUGUUAUUGUGUUCCUUCAAGUAAUUUCUGAUCUAUGGUGAUCCAAAGGUGAUCCAAUCACAGGGUUUACUUGGCAUGAUUUGUUCAGAAGUGAUUUGCCAGUGCAUUCCUUUGAGGCUAAGAGAGUGUGACUUGCCCAAGGGCACCCAAUGGGUUUCAGGGCUGGUCAGGAAUUUGAAACCUGAUCAUCAGGAUCAUAGUCUAAAAUUCAAACCUUCUUUACCACACUGUAGAUGGCACCAAUGUACACUCAGUUUGAAGAGGUCUUUUAUUUAAUAACUAGUGUAUAUAUAUUUUGUGUUGCUUAGGUGUUGCUGUGAUUAAUGCCCACCUAGGGAAGGUUCAAUGCAGAUACAGAACUACUCAGAUCACUUUCAUCAAAGAGACCUCACAGAUACAGUGAGAAAUGUCAGUACCUUGUAUGGCUGAUAUCUAAUGAAAGCCCUGGACAUCAUAAUAGACAGACAGGCAGACAGACAGAAGAAGAGUCAUCUAAUGAUAAAUGUGUAAUAGUGCUCUUGACUAGUGUGCGAGAUUUAGUAAUAGUUUUGUCAUGUCCCAUUUUACAGUUUUUUAAAAUAAAUAUCCCCCGAAUACAUUAAUAAUUGCUCCAUCUGACAAUAUUACUCCAGGAAACAAGAUGAACAUUUUUUAACAAUCCCACUUUUAGAUAUAGUUUAAAAUAGCUGAAGUGUGUUAAUUAUAGCAAAAACGAAAAGAAAGAAGUAAAAAAUGCGUGCAUUAGCUCACCUACGGUACCUAUCUUCAUAAAUAUCUUCAAUACUGCCAGGAUAAUUGGUUCAACCCACCACAUUUUCUGAUGCAGUUGUAAUGUGAAUUGCAUUAUAAUGUGAGUUGCUUGCACCCUUAUAAUACAUUGUUCAAGAACUUAACUAUUACAGUAGAGUUUCACUUAUCCAACAUAAAUGGGCCGGCAGAACGUUGGAUAAGUGAAUAUGUUGGAUAAUAAGGAGGGAUGAAAGAAAAGCCUAUUAAACAUCAAAUUAGGUUAUGAUUUUACAAAUUAAGCACCAAAACACCAUGUUAUACAACAAAUUUGACAGAAAAAGUAGUUCAAUACGCAGUAAUGCUAUGUAAUAAUUACUGUAUUUACGAAUUUAGCACCAAAAUAUCACGAUGUUUUGAAAACAUUGACUACAAAAAUACGUUGGAUAAUCCAGAAUGUUGGAUAAGUGAGUGUUGGAUAAGUGAGACUCUACUGUAUAUUGUUUCUGUACUCUUAGCAACAGUUGAUCAGUAGGAAUAGGCUAGGUUUUGUCACGCGCUGGGCCUGUAACUAUUGUCUUUUGUAUAGGACAUAUACUUUAUGCCCAGCGGGAAGCCAGGGCACCUAAAGAGAGGUUCUUGAGGAUUUCCCUGAAAAGGAUGGCCUUUUGAGUCUUUAAUGAAAUAACAAAAUCUUUAUUGAUGAACAAAUAAUAAAUCUUCAAGGAGUCAAAUAACACUUCAAGGUUUCCUUAAUAAACUGUUGGCUUUUCAAUCUUGUCCUCAGGGGACGGGCAAUUGGCUUGGGAUAACUAUAUUUUCUCUGUAAGAAGAAAAUCCCCUUAUAACCUCUCCCAGGCUGUCUAUCAUAUGAGCCUAGCUGAUGUGGGACCUACUACCGAUUCCAAAUGCGUCUGGGCAUCGAGUAGAUCUACCAGCCAAGGUUUGCAGAUGUUUCAGCUGGGGUUCCGUGAAUCUGUGAUGCUGUUCUCUCGCCGAGGUUUCUUUGGAAACUUUAGGGCUGUUUCCCUCAGGAGCUGUGAGGCUGAGAGGCUGUAAGCUCUCAGCCAGAGCUUUUGGGACCUUUUCCCCCUGGAAUUUCUGUUUCUGUUUUCUUGGAUGUUCUAUAUCCCCGGAUGUUAUUGAGAUAUGAAGCUUUUUUAUGGGAAGAGCUGGUCUACGUCCUAUAGCUUAGCUUCCUUAAGUGAGACUGACUUAAAAAUGGCUCCUUCUCUCCCAGAGCCCUGAACAAGGGGUGGAACCAAACUUAAUAAUGAUUGACAGGCGGCCUGUCCUAUGACUGCAAACAUUAGCAGCAAUUACAGGGAGCGGUCAACCCCCUGUUUAAGAAACUUCAUUGGCUGACGUUCAAUUUCCAAUUCCAAUUCAAGGUGUAGGUUAUCACAAAGCCCUGAAUAGUUCGGGAUCCGUCUAUGUUCCCCCUACCAACCUGCGCGAUCCCUUCGGGAGAGGCCCUCCUCUCCCUCCCACCUCUGUCACAAGCACGGUUGUGAGGACAAGGGUGAGGGCCUUCUCCGUGGUGGCCCCUCAGCUCUGGAACUCGCUCCCCAGAGAGAUUAGGCAAGCACCCACUAUGGCAGCCUUUAGGAAAAGUUUAAAAACUUGUCUUUUCCGGUGUGCUUUUGAAGAAUGAAUAAUUAAUUUCCAUGUCAGGUCCCUUCUCAGUAUCAAUUGUUGUUCUGAUGCACUUUAUCUUAUCCCUUAGGUAAGAAUAACCUCAUUGUUUAUCGCACCCGAGUUUCCCACUAAAUGCAGCACUUUACCUCAUCCAUGGAUUUUACAAUUUUCACUCCUCGCACUUUGGCCCAGCUUGCCCUCGAUUAAUUCUGUUUUUAUACGCUUUUUUAUUAUGUCAUUGUUACUAUUUUAUUGUUUUACCAUGUUAUUGUAUAAGCAUUUUACUUGACGUUGUUGCGUGUCUUGUAUGCAUUUUAUUUUGUUUUAUUGUAAUUGCUUGGACUUGGCCCCAUGUUAGCCGCCCUGAGUCCCUUCGGGGUACAAAAAUAAAGGUAUUAUUAUUAUUAUUAUUAUUAUUAUUAUUAUUAUUAUUAUUAUUAGUAUGACAAAGCAAACAAGAUAGAUAUGCUGGAUUUCGUUUCACAAAAUCACAAGUCGAACACUUCCCAAGUGUCUAGGACUGUGUGAUGUAUUUUCGGAUGAUGUGCGCAAAUCCCAGUAGGGUGGCCUUUUACAGUUGGCAGAUCGUAAUUUUGUCAAUUUCUAUUGUUUCCAAAUGCCGGCUGAGAUCUUUUGGCACGGCACCCAAUGUGUCCAUCACCACCAGGACCACCUGCACUUGUUUCUGCCAGAGUCUUUGAAGUUCAAUCUUGAGGUCCUGAUAGCGGCUGAGUUUUUCCUGUUGUUUUUCGUCAAUGCGACUGUCACCUGGGAUGGCGACAUCAAUUAUCCAAACCUUUUUCUUUUCCACAACUGUGAUGUCUGGUGUGUUGUGUUCCAGAACUUUGUCAGUCUGGAUUCGGAAGUCCCACAGUAUCUUUGCAUUCUCAUUUUCCAAUACUUUUGCAGGUUUGUGAUUCCCACCAGUUCUUUACUGCUGGUAGGUGGUACUUGAGGCAUAAGUUACAAUGAAUCAUUUGGGCCACAUAGUUGUGCUUCUGUUUGUAGCCUGUCUGUGCGAUUUUCUUAUAGCAGCUGAGGAUAUGAUCAAUGGUUUUGUCGGUUUCCUUGCACAGUCUGCAUUUUGGAUCAUUAGCUGAUUUUUCGAUCUUGGCCUUAAUUGCAUUUGUUCUGAUGGCUUGCUCCUGGGCUGCAAGGAUCAGGCCUUCUGGCUCCUUCUUCAGGGUCCCAUUCAUGAGCCAUAGCCAGGUCUCCUCCUUAUCAGCUUUUCCUUCAAUUUUGUCAAGAAACUUUCCAUGCAUCAUCAUCAUCAUCAUCAUCAUCAUCAUCAUCAUCAUCAUCAUCAUCAUCAUCAUCAUCAUCGCUAUUUUAAAAAGGAUAAAUAAUUGAAAUCCUGGAAGGUUGAGUUAGAAGCUGGAGGAGGCAAUCUUAAUGUGAUGGGAGUGAGUAAAUUCUUCGUCUUCUUUAAAGACAGAACCCCACGCAACUCCACCCUUUCCCCCGCUUCCCCUCGUUUUCUCCAGCUCAAUGUGAUGAAGUCUUUAGGCAGUGAUAUUCUUUGUUGAAUCAAUGCACCUUGAGUGUGUUCUUCUUUUCAUUCUGCCUUCCAUUUUACCAAGCACUGUCAUCUUUUCCAAAAGGUCAGGAUAUGUCCAAAGUAUGGCUGCCUCAGUUUAGUGAUUUUUGCUUUCGGGUCAGAGUUUGGCAUUCUACAGUAUCUGUAGGACUUUCCUGCUGCACCACAUUUGAAAUGAAUUGAUCCCUCCCAGUCAACUUUCUUCAUGAUCUAACGUUCACAACCAUACAUCACAAUCUAAAAUAUUAUGUUAUGGAUGAUCCUGUCUUUAGUGGUAUACCAAGGCCAGGAAACAGAAGUUUACUAGAACUUCACUGAACUUACAGCUAAGAUUUAAGCUGUGAUGCUAUGUCAGCAAUCUCUUUCUUCCUUCCUCUUCUUUCUUCGUUCUGUAACAACUUCCCUUAGGGGGUGUCAUUAAGAUCAAGAUAUUUUGUCUGUUCUGCCCAUGCUUUUUAAAUAAUACAGUGGCCUAGGGUAUGAUUUCUUGCCUUUCUACCUAGUUGAUUUCCUAAAGAAUACUGAUGAUUAGAGUGACAUCUUGUGGUAAAAUGCAUUGGGAAAUAUCCUUGAGUAGCUGCAUAGAUCAGGUUUAUCCAAAUCAUUUGAGCCAUGGAUAACCUAAACCAGGGGUCCUCAAACUUUUAAAGCAGAGGGCCGGUCCACAAUCCUUCAGACUGUUGAGGGGCCGAAUUAUCAUUUGGGGGAAAAAACCGAACCAAUUCCUAUGCACACUGCACAUAUCUUAUAUGUAGUGCAAAACAACAAUAAUAACAAUGAAAGAACAAUACAAUAUUUAAAAAUGAAAAUAAUUUUAACUAACAUAAACCUAUCAGGAUUUCAAUAGGAAGUGUGGGCCUGCUUCUGGCCAAUGAGAUAGUCAGGUUAAUUAGGAUUGUUGUUGUUGUUGUGUGUCUUCAAGUCAUUUCAGACUUUGGGUGAGCCUAAGUCCAAAAUUAAUUAUUUAUUCAUUUACUACAUUUAUUUACUACAUUUAUAUCCCGCCCUUCUCACCCCGAAGGGAACUCAGAGCAGCUGUAUGUACAUACAAUAUAUUAUAUUAUUAGCAUAGCACAAUAUUGGCAUUAUACUAUAUUGAACUAUACCACUAUACUGUAAUAUUAUAUGUAAUAUAUAACAUAUAAUUAAUAUUAUUAUAUGAUAUUAUUGUUAGUAUUGUAUUGUAUAAAAUGAUAAUAUUAUUAUCAGUAUUAUAUGUAUAUACAAUAUAUUAUAUUAUUAAAAUGGAUAUAAAAAUAUUAUAUUAUAAAUGAGGGCGAGGGCCAGGUAAAUUACCUUGGAGGGCCGCAUCCGGCCCCCGGGCCUUAGUUUGGGGACCCCUGACCUAAAUGCUCCAGAUGUUGGAAACUAAGCAGAGUCGGCCCUGGUAAGUACUUGGCUGGAAUAUCACCAUUGGUGAUAUAGCCUAUAUUUCACAGAAUCAUAGAGUUCGAAGAGAUUACAAGGGCCAUUCAGUACAAUCUCCUGCUGUAAAGGAAAGUACAGUCAUGGCACUCCUGACAGAUGGCAAUCCAGCAUAUCCCACUGUCAAACAGCUGUUACUGUCGGGCAGUUCUUCAUAAUGUUUAGGUGGAAUCCCUUUUCUGGUUGGAUGAAUCUGUUGCUCUGUCUCCUAUUUUCAGAGGAAGGCACUGGCAAAACUACCUGUGAAUGUUCAUAUCCUUAAAAAGUCCUAUGUCAACAAAAUAUCUUGAAGGUGCAUACUCAAACACACUCUUGGUUGGUACUUAGAUGGGAGACCAUAGAUGAAUACCAGGUACUGUUAGCUAUAUUUUUGAUGAAGGCAAUGGCAAAGUCCCCUGAUGCAUGGGCUCUCCAUAAAUUAUCAGGCUCAUAUUACUACAACAACAACAACAACAACAACAACAACAACAACAAUAAUAAUAAUAAUAAUAAUAAUAACUUUAUUUAUAUCCCACCACCAUCUCCCCAACGGGGACUCGGGGCGGCUUACAUGGGGCUACAUCAGGUUGAGCAUCCCUUAUCCAAAAAGUGUUUGGGAUUAUGGAUUUUUCAGGUUUUGGAAUAUUUAUAUUAGCAUACAUGUUCAUAAUAAGAUCUAUUGGAUGUGGAACCCAAGUCUAAACACAACAUUCAUUUAUGGCUCCUAUAUAUCUUAUACACAUAAACCAAAGGUCAUUUUGCACACAAUAUUUUUAAAUUUUGGGCAUGAAUCAAAGUUUAUGUACAUUGAACCAUCAGAAAGGGCUCACUCAUUCAUGUGGACAAUUUUGGAUUUUGGAGUACAGGUAGACUGAAUUGCAUUGGUGGUUGUUUGAUAUUAUUACUGUUGUAUAAACCUUUUUUUAACUUCUGUUUUAUCAUCUUCUUGUGUUUUAAACUGUGUAUAUUGUUAAUAUAUUUGCGCUGUUACUUUUGUAACAUUGUGAGCCUCCCCGAGUCCCCACGGGGAGAUGGUGGCGGGGUAUAAAUAAAGUUUAUUAUUAUUAUUAUUAUUAUUAUUAUUAGUCCCCAAAUUACAAACAUCUGACUUACAGAUGAGUCCCAUUUGUAGGUGAAAAGUGGGAUAAAAGUAAAUAAAUAAUAAAAGGACUCACAGUUAAGAACAUGGGUGAGACAAUGGGAAGUGAUAGUAAUCUACCCCUAGGAAAAAAAAUUCACUCCUGAAAGAAUUGUUAUCAUUGAGAAAAGGGGUCUCUACUGAAGCUUUAUCUUCACACAAGCCAAAUUUUUCAAAAUCUAAUUAUCACAGGGACAUAAAGUGAUGUGAAAUCUUCUGAACAGGGGCACAGACAGCAAAACAAACACCACUUCCCUAUGCUACCCAAAGCUAAAAGAUAUAUAAAAGUGCCAGAUUUAGCACAGCGUGUUAAUCACCAGCUGCAGCUGCAGUAAAUCUUGCUUGCCAACGGAAGGUUGACAGUUUGAAGUUGGGUCAGGGUGAGCUCCUGACCUUCAGCCCAGCUCCUCCCCACUGUCAGGACCCAGGCUGCAGAGCACCAAUAACCAUGCGCAGAGACCAGAAUCUAUCUAAUAUCUUUAUUAAAGGAAUAUAUAAAGUCAAUAAAAACAAGUGAAGAAUAUAGUUCAGAAGUAGACCUUUCAGGAAAGGUCAAAUAUAGUCCAGGAAAACAAUGUCCAAUAUGUGAUAUUAGAGUCCAAAGUUAUAAUCCAAUAACCGAAACACACACUUUGCCAAGCAAAGUGUGGGGAAAUGACAGGGUCCUUUAGUCCAAUGGAGCUUGACAACAAGGCUGGAAGCAAACUAGAUUCUUGGCAAACAAGGCUUGAUACGUGGCAACAAGAGGCAAGAAGCAAGAACGAGGUCCGUGGCAAGAUCCGGGGACAAGGCAGGCUUGGAACUAGAACAAGGUCUGUGGCAAGGUCCGGGAAACAGGGAACUGGAGUAGCGUAGUCCACACACGAUCUCACUCCCGAAGCUGACGAAUUGACUCCGCAAGGAUUUCCUUGCGGGUAAACACCUAUAUAGGAUCUUGUUUUCCCGCCAAGGAACACUUUCCCUGGGGAACAAGAAACGAAACCCAUACUGUGUCCAGAUGCAUGACUCCUUAAGAUUUCCCAAGGGAAACAGGCUUAAUCAGCUAAUUGUCUGGCAGCAAUCCUGGCGCUUCUGCGAUUCGCCUCCCUAGCGCCUCUAUCUCGAUUAUAAUAAUCCCGGCGAGAAAAUGGGGGAGAUUUCUGCUCAAGGCUUGUUUGGCUGACUUCUUGUGGGCAAACAUCUUGCAGGUGCAAGGGCUCCAAUUCUGGCUGAAACGGUGGGAAACCCAAGUUUUCCUCUUCAUCUGCCACAAUAGUACUAGGAACGGGACUACAUGGCCCAUGAGACAUCACACCCACCUAGAAGAUUGAAAACAGCAUUGUGAGUAGAUAAAUAGGAACUGCAUUAAAGUGGAGAGGUAUUUUAGGAACAGUGGCAUUUCAAUCAGAAAAAGAAGGAAAAGUGUAUGUACAAAGAAUGCUAUUUGGCAAGGAGAUGGAGAAGCAGCACCCUCCUGUGGCCAGAACUGAGCACAGCCUCCAAAGAUGCCGAAAAGAUGGGAAAAAGCCUAUAGAAUACCUCUAUCUGUUGUCUGUCUUAUUGUAUAAUUGGCAUAGAAUGUUUGCCAUAUAUUUGUUCUGUUAUCUGCCCUUUGGGGUGAGAAGGGCGGAAUAUAAAUACUGUAAAUAAAUAAACAAACAAACAAACAUAUGUUUGCCUGGAGUUACACUUAAAAAUGUAUCUGUUCGAACUUACUGUACAUACAAAUUCAACUGUAGACAAACCUACAGAACCAACCUUGUUUGUAACAUGGGGACUGCCUGUAUUUCAGAUUUCAGAAUUCCAGUUAAUGUAUACUUAAGCUGUACUAUGUAUACAACUCUAUUGUGCUUUCAAAAUGUUGUUGUUUAUUUGUUAAGUUGUUUCUGACUCUUCGUAACUUCACGGACCAGCCCACACCAGAGCUCUCUGUCAGCCGUUGUCACCCCCAAGUCCUUCAAGGCCAAGCCAAAAUAGGUUUCAAAAUAGUGAGACAUUAUUUGACCUGUGGACAGAAGUUCUCUAUUUCGAAUGAUAGGGAUGGCCUUCAUAAAAUAGGGUAGGCGGACUAUACAUGGCAGUCAAAGGUUACUCAAUGUGCUUAAUGGUUGAGAUAACAGCUGAACCCACAUUUCAACAGCUUUUUUCUUGUCUCUCUGAGCACUUGCUUCUUUUGGCUGGCUUCUGUUGAGAAUCUCUGAUUUGAUUGAGCAGGACAUCUCUUACAUGUUUCUGAAUUCUUUAGAUCUGGGCAUGAAAAAUAAAUGUGCCAGAUAUAACUGGAAAGAAGCAAUUGCUUUUCUAAAUGUCUUUAUUAAUGGCAACUUUAAGAGGAAAUAGCGCAGGAGGAAAUUCUGUGAAUGUUUUAUACACCUCUGAGGUUAUAAAUUAAUGUGUGUUUACAGAGAGCUUUUCAAUACAGUUUUAAAUACAGAAAACACCAUGCAUUUGAUAAAGACGGGAGAGAAGAAUGCCUAGAACAGUGAUAGUAAUAUUUUAAUAUCCUCUAUGACUAGCAGAGAUAAUCUGAAGGGACAAGUAAUUGCAGAAAUGUAGGUGCCCUACUUAACAUGAAAAGAUUCUUCCCAUAAUGAGUUGCAGGCCUUUUUUGCUUUCAUAAGGCACAACAAACACUCUUACAGUGCAAUCCAAAAAUCCUAUCUAGAGAUGCCAUUAGAUUUGCAUUCAUCUUCUGUUUGGUAAUCUCCCUCCUUCCUGAAUGUCUCUUUUAUUCCUUCUUGACAAUUGCAAAGGAAAUGUUAUUUGCUGGUACUCCUUUCAUUUAAAAAACUCUGUAAUUUCUCAUCAGCACCGUAAUUAGAAGACAACAGUAGGAUAAUUAUUUCUUAUAUUUUUGCCAAUGGAGAUUUGAAGUAUCUCAACUGAUUUUGUGUAAGCAGGUGCGCUUUUGAAUUAAAAUCGCCAACUGCUCAGAAAACUCUGCUCUCAUAACUGCAGUUCAACAUGCCUGAAUCUGAAUUGCUGAUGCUCUUCAAAAAAUAGAAGAAUGAACUCUUGGUCAUUAGCGGUCUAAACUAAUUGUCCUGGUAAUCUCUUACAGAUGUGGACAUUCCUCUGUGGCAGUGAUUGGACAUUUUUACUCCAUUUGGAACAAAUAUGCAGUUCAACAUUGGGGAAAUUGGUUUUCACAUGCCAUCCUGUUACACAUACAGAAACAUAUUGUUCAUGAUGUCUUGGUUCAGUUGCAUAGCUUUGCCAUUCAACAUAAGGGUUGCUUAAUACAAUCAAAGUGUAACUCUACAUAUGGAGAUGUAUGCUAUGUACAACCAAUAUAAGAUCUUAUCUGUAGUUAGUUUUAGCCAGAACUGAUGUGGGGAUUAUAGAUAAACUCAGAGAAAAUAUGGAAAUACAAAGGAUGUGACUUGCAGGUGAUAAGGUGUUACCAUGUUUCCCCAAAAAGAAGCUGCCCUGAAACCCAGACUUUAACCCUGCUAAGGUCUUGUGAACUCAGAACUGAGAUCUCCUUGAUUUGGUCUAUCCAUCUGGAAUGUGGUCUUCCUCUUUUACGACUGCCCUCCACUUUACUGAACAUUAUAAUCUUUUUUAGUAAGUUAUGUCAUAUCAUGAGAUCUCGAAAAUAGGGUAGCUGUUAGGGAUUCCUCUUCUUCAGAAGAGGAAGGAGAGCAGGAAAGUGUUCAUGAGUCUGAGGGUGAGUUGGAAUCUGAGGAGAAGAUUUUGCAAGUACCCGCAUUUCAGGAGAAGCGAAAGGAAACAGAACAGAGACGUUGUUCAGCUAGAAUAGCUGCCAGAAAUGCAGCUGAGUAAUUGGGAACUGCCCUAGCAGCUGUGAGGGACUCAGGGCUAUAAAGCAGAAGCAGGUGCAGCCAGCAUUUGCUGGUAACAAACUGACUCUAAUGCCUAAGCCUUUGCUCCCCUUGUGCCUGCUUUGAGUCUGCAUCUGGGAUACUGCUCCUAAGGAUUUAUUGCUGCUUCUUUGUCUGAAGUAAGACUGCUAUUUGAUUUGGGAGUUUAUCGGAGACUAAGAACUGUGUUUGCCCUAAGACUUCCUUGCUUCCUUUUGCAUUAUCCCACUGAGUGUGCUGUUCUUUAUGUUUUUCUGAAGUAAAGCAGUUUUCAUUUACUUACCACAGUGUUUUAAGCCUGUUCUUGAAAGACAAAACAGGACAGUAGCCUCAGGUUAGCUAUUUUGGCCUCUAGGGAAUUUGGGCUUCAUUUGCCUUUGCUGUUGUUAUUGUUUGCUUUCAAGUCAUUUCUGACUUACAGUGACCCUAAGGUGAAGCUGUCAUGGGGGUUUUUUUGGGUAGAAUUUGUUCAGAAGAGGUUUGCCCUUAUGUCUCUUUGAGGUGUGAGUGACUUGCCUGAGGUUAUCUAGUGGUUUUUCAUGACUGAGCAGGAAUUCAAACUUUGGCCUCCAGAGUCAUAAUUUCAAACUACUACACCACGUUUGCUCCUAUGACCCAUUUAUGCAUAAUUUUGGUGGUCUUUGCAUUUUUGCAGCACUACUUUUCAAAUGACUUCAAACCCUACAUUAAGUUAUAUUAUGCUUUUGUCAGAUUAAAGAUCACAUGGAAGAAAAGAUAGAUAUGUUUGUGUAACCUCCACAUCUAUUACUGGUACAGCAUAUUUUAUAAGAAACCGAGCUUUAGAUUGGGAAAUCCUUGGUUCCAAGGCCAUGUCUAUCAUUAAACCUUCUUCAAGGACUAUGAGUAGAUAAUAUGCUUGUUGUCUUCAGAACAGUUGAAACCAGAUUACAAAUGGUAAAUGUUACUAAGUGAUAUGAAUAUAUAUUAUUAUGUUUAUUUAUACUCCGCUUUUUCUCUCCACAAGGAGACUCAAAGCAGUUUAGACUAGAUUGUGAAGUCAGAAGUAUUGUGCUCCAAAGCUCUUUUCAGUCUGAAUUCGGAAGUCCCAGAGUAGUUUGAUGUGCUCAUUUUCAGUAACUUUUUCAGGCUUGUGAUCCUGUCACAGGCAGAUGGUAUUUGUGGCAUAAGUUCCAAUGGAUGAUGAUGAUGGUGAUGGUGAUGAUGAUGAUGAUGGUGAUGAUUAUUAUUAUUAUUAUCAUCAUCUGUACUGUGGUCUUCUUUUUCUAAUGCCUUCUAGCUUUCCAAGCACUGUUAUCUUUUCUAGGAAGUCAUAUCUUCUCACAACAUGGCCAAAGUAUGAUGUUCUCUAUUCCUCUUGGCUUCUAUUGAGAGCACAGGCUUGAUUUGUAGGAUUCAUUGAUUUGCUUUUUUCGCAGAACAUGGUAACUUUUCUCUAACACUAUUUUAAAUGAGCCUACUUUCUUCCUUGUGUUGACCCUGUUUUCCUUCCACAACCAAAUCCUAUUACCACUUUAUCUGCUUGAUUUGAGUGUCAUUUUAUGACAGGAAGACAAGAUAUAAAUUGCAUAAAUGAAAAUAAAUGAAUAAUUGAAUGGAUGAAUAUAACAGUCGUAUAUAAUUCUUCUCCUAGGAAGUCAGUCUUUAAUUGGACUCAAGGGAGCCUUGAAGAUACAUGCAUACACUAUAGAUAACAUUUUGCCCCUGGAAUUUUACUGUAAAAUAAUGAAAAAAGGCAUUCAAGAUGGCCAUAACCUUCUCCAACAGCAUGGCAGCAUUUAAUGAUGAAAUUGCAAGAUUUGAACCUGUGAGAGCUCAAACAGACACAUUGUGGGUUUUGUAAUAGGAUAGACUAUGAAAUGGAUCAGUUAAAACGCAAAAGAUGAAUCAGCCAUGAAUUCUUUAAUCACUUGAAAGCCCCAAAGGUGGGCUUUUAAUUGCAAAGCUUAUGAGAAUAUACAGUAUGUGAAAAAAUAUGAAAGGAGCUCCAAUUAACAACAUUGUAAUUGCCUUGUAAUUGCCAAGACAGACCAAAAGAUUGUGCUUAUAGGAUUUCAUAAAAGAAAAGGAAGACAUGUUCUACCAAUUAUUUUUAGAUAUGGGAUUGUGUGGUUGUUUUAUUUUAAGCCCAUGAUAUUUUCACUCUUAUGAGGAAUCGGGUGAGAAUUUUCUUUGGAAACUCAUCCAUGAUUAAUGCAUCACUUAUAUGGAUUCUGUCUUUUAUUUUUAUUUUUGAAGCAAUGAUAAAUGAAUAGCUUUUGCAUAUCCCAUCCUCAAAUGUAUUCACUAACAAAAAAAUACAGUCUGAAUGGCAUUAAAGAAAAGUCAGAACUAUUUUGUAACAAUGAUGUAGGACUUCAUCACACGCAAUAAAACUAGCAUUUCUACUCAUUGAAGAAGCGGCUACCGAUGGAGCCCAUAACCUGAUGCAAUCUUGUACUGUAGGUUUCAACUAUUUUGCUGUUUCUAAAGUGUGGUUUUUCCUGAUGAUUCCUAAGUCUAUUGGUAAUUGACUUUAUUUUAGAUUCCCCACAUAGAAAUGGGUAAAAACGUCUAAUUUCACAAGUGUCCACUUGUAAACAUAAUAAUUAUAUUGUUCUAGAGGGAGGAGCUGAGAUGGGCAGUAUAGAUUCCUAUCUUCCACCAUUAUCUUUUUUGGAACCGAGGAGGAAAGAAUGGUAAUUUAUAUAUUUUUAAAAUGUGAACUUGCAUUAAAAAGUAUUUUUGCAAGAAAAAAACAGGAUUUUUUCUAUCAAAAGAAAAUUGGGGAGGAGACAGUGUGAGGAAAAAUAUCUCUCCCAUGUGAUGGGAAGGCAAACAGAUAAUUUGAAAAGAAAGCAGAAUGAGGGAAAAUAUGUGAUGUGGAUAGGAAAAUCAUCCAUUCAAUUUUCAAACAGGGACGUUGAAAAGCUUAAGGGAAAAACAACGAUCGAUCCUCAACACUUUACUUAUUGUGUGGGAUGAAGUCGGUAGGAAAGUGUUGGUAUGAAAACUGUAAUUCUAAUGCCAGCUAAAAUUAAAUGAAAUAGAAGUGGUAUAAAAGUUUUAGGGAAAGGCAGAACUAGAUACCAACUUCAGAUGUUGACAGAAAAAAGAUGGAACAAGGUUGAUAUCAUGAGUCCUUCAUAUGAUGUAGGACCAUAACUCCUUGUACUCUCCUGUGGCUCCUGGGACAUAUAAGACAUUAUCCUCUGCUGUCCCUCGCCCCCAUUUCUAGACACUUUGAAAACAGAGAGACAAUGAUGGAUGAUGGAUGAGGACUUCUCCCUUCCCAUGACGCAGGAGGACCUCCUGUCUGCGCCUCUUCACAAAUAGUUAGGAAACUGCCUCAAAAGUCCUAGAGACAUUUAUGGAGGUGGGAGUGGAGAAGAUGGACAAAGAUUGUCUUCUGAGGCCAGGAAUCGGUAUGUAACUGGAGAAAACAGUAAAAAUCAUUUGGGAUGGGAACUGUCAAAUUUGUCCAUGUUGAAUUGCUUUAGUGACAUGGCGUAAGGGGCAUUCCUAUGGGUGAUCCCCUGCAAAGCAUUGACAUUUCUCUCCCAAAAUCCUGCUUCAUGAGUGUGACAUGGUAAUUUUUUAAAUUAAUGUAAUAAUUCAAAAUACCAAAAUUUCAAAAUAUCUUUCUUUUUCCUAGCUUUUUAAGUUUUGAACUUCCUCAAUGAAGAGCCCAAUGUCCACAUCAUGGGGCCUAGUGAAGAUCAGUGCCUGGGGUCUACUCCAAAGCAACAGGAUUGGAGGGGAAAGCCCAGUAUCCCCACAGUUUUUUCCCCCAAGGUUUUGGAAUGGACAGGAACUGUGCUCGCUCAUGUGAUAAUCUGAACGGACUGCAUAGGAUGGAUUAUACAAGAGAAAGGGAUCUUUCAACUUCUUUACACAUGUGGCCAAGCAAUACCAGAGUGAGAUCAAAGUUGCAAACUUAGAGAGAGUGCAGCAAUUUGCUUUUGCCUGAGCCCACUGGGAAGGGCAAAAUUCACCUCCCCACUUUAUGUCUUUGUGAAUUAACUAAAUGCCAAGUAUUUUUGCACUUUCAACUCAGGGCCCAUCCAGACAGGCCCUAUAUCCCAGAAUCUGAUCCCAGGGUUUCUGUUUUAAACUGGAUUAUAUGAGUCCACAUUUCUAGAUAAUCUGGGAUAAACAGAAAACCUGGGAUCAGAUCCUGGGAUAUGGAGCCUGGCUGGAAGGGCCCUCAGUUUGCCGCAACUGAAAUUAGGUAAAGACAAAGGAAGAAAAUGGAGGGAGAGAGAGAAACUGGGGGCAUUUUUUUUUAAAAAAGUAGAAAAAACGGGAUGACAGAGUCUGCCUGCCCAGUCAGGAGAAUUGAAAGCCAUGCACUAUGUUGAGGUUUGUAAAGACACCAUUAUGGAUGGGUUAACUGGAAAAGUACGUGUAAGAAACUGAUUGGCUGAACCUGCGAACAGCUAGGAAUCUGAUUGGUCAAUUUCUCUUCCAUGCUACUGGGGAACCAGUUUGAGCAGGUUUUGCUCAAACAGUAAGUCUGUGUAUGCUGACUGGAAACAGCCAGGAGAGAAGAUAGCUGCCGGCUCUCAGUGGCCCUGUUAUUUCUAAGGCACUGAGGCAAUUUUAUUUAUUCAUGUAUUUAUUUACAACAUUUAUACCCCGCUCUUCUCACCGAGGGGACUCAGGGUGGCUUAUAGAAAUUGGCAAAAUUUAAUGCCCAAAAAUACAAUCAUAAAAUCAAAACAAUACAUAUAGAUCAGUUAAUAAUAAUAUUAAAAUACAUUAUAAAACCUUAAAAACAUAUAUAUAGUUAAAUCCAUUCAUCCGAAACCUCCGAAAUUUUAUGAACUUUAAGAGGACUAUUUAUUCCUACUCUUCUCUGUAAGCAAUCAGGGAGACUAUUGUAAAUAUUAUUGCUCUGUUUGAUUAUUUUGAAGUCAGUAAAGUUCCUGUUAAUUGUUCUACAAAGCUGAGUGGCACAUCAUUACCCUGCGGGGUGACUUUGGUUCACAGGUGGACAUAAGAGCUUCUAUUUAACAUAAUCUACAAUCUUUAACACACUAGUGAUCUUUACUUAUCACUAUAAGAAGAUUUUCCCCCAAGUGUGAAACAUACUUACUUAUGCAUGCAACCCAACUGAAUAGCCCUGAAGCUCACAUCAUUUGCCACAAAAGGAAACCACCCAGCCUAGAAUUUCAGACUACACUCAAGGUAGAUUUCUUCUGUCUUCGCCCAACAGAUCCUUAUUCUGUGGAACAACUAAACUGCUCUCCUGAUUGCAUUACGUCCGGCCCAAUGAUGCAGCAAACAUCAGUCACUUUAGUUAAGAGAGAGAAAAACAGAGAGACACUUUGGGGCCUUCAAAGAUGAGAUUUCCCUACCUGUCAGAUGGAAUCCCAUCAGCAAAGAUGCUCUUUUAAGGGAGGGAAAUAUUCACACCGACACUCAACACCACGAGAUCAAAUCUGUUUUCUGUCUAUUCACAUUAGCUUGAAGCACUUACAGGAUUAUUGAUCUGCUUGGCUGGGUGUCACGAAGGGCUCUGGAAGAACACAACCGAUUGCUGAACGAGUGACAAUUUUACUUACAAGUUUGUCAAACAAGGGUGGGCAACUUUUUGCGGUCAAGGGGCCUCACUGUCCCCUUGAACGUGCUGGGGACGAUCCCAUUGUUGCUGAAAUUCACUGGAGACCAUUGAGGUUCUAGCCGUGCUGCCAAAAUCUGUUGACAAAAAUACAGUAUGAUUUUUGUGUCUGCGGGGCAUACAUUCCUUAACUUUCAGUGGAAAUGGGAAACUGUGUAUGAUAACCAACCUAUUGAAAUGAAUGAGAUUUGCCAGAAGUUCCAGAAAGUUGCCCUGGAAGAUCUACAAAUUACUGUAGUCAUGCUGAAUUAUAGUACAUUGGGUAGAUAAAUAUACUGAGAGAGAAUUACACUCUGUUGAUGACAUAACUGUAAUUUUUGGUGUUAUUUUCAUAAUUAUGGAAAUUUGGCAAUACUAAGUAGAAGUGGAUGGAUAUGACAGGCUUGUAGGUGGUGUCAUGGUUUGCAGAGAUACUAUAUAUGUGCUAACUGGAAAAGCAAAUGCAUGAAGCCGAUUGGCUGAGUUUGCAAGGACCUAGGAAUCGGUUUGCAACUGUUGCUGUCCUGCUGCUGGAGAACUGGUUUAAACAGGUGUGUGUGUGUGUGUGUGUGUGAGAGAGAGAGAGAGAGAGAGAGAGAGAGUACUGGCUGGAAAGAAGAUGACUCUGUGUUCAGAGAGGCCUGACAUUUUCUGAGGCCUUGUUUGCUGCUGAUCUUCACUGAAGCAAAUUUAUGGACUACCUAUCACCCACAAUCCCUAACAGAUGGCUCAUACUGUGUAUCAUGGUCUCUUAUGGAUGCUGGGGCAACAAUGAGAUGGAUGGGAAUACCAUAGCCCAGAAUUUAGGCUUGUGAAGAAGUUCCACUUUGAAAUGGGAAAGUACAGUUUAUUUUCACAAACUGUAGUAAUUAUGGUGACUAGCCUCUUUAUGAAGAAACCUGAGAAUUAUACCUAAUUCAUUCUCAAACAUGACUUUCCUAGAACUGUUUUCUCAAGAGACAAACUUCAUUUUCAGGUUUGCAUUGCAUGUAUUCAUGUGCCUUGGAAAUAAAUUAAAUAGCAGUAUGUACAAUUUACGUCGCCAGGUGGCACCAUUUUACAGGAAUUGACAUUUCUAUUUGCUAAAGGGAGCAAAAUCCUUCCUGGUGCCAUCUGUAACUAUACAUUUAAAAAUGAAUCUAAUUUUGUCUCCGUCCUUAUUUAUGCUGGAAACAUCUUAACCAGACACUUCAUUAUUUUUCAGCCUUUUAAUGUUGUGAGUGUUAGAACCAUGGCAGGCAUUUAAUAUUGUUUGAUGAAGAAGGUUCUUGUUUCUGUAUUGCUGCCUACAAUUCCAGUAGUCUUGAGUUCUGCAUAAAGACUUCACAAUUGUGUUUAUUUAUAAGCCUAUUUAGGUCUUUAAAAGCGUUUAAGGGUGCAUGUUAAGAGGCUUUGCAAAGACAAUGCCAAGUAAAUAAUCUAGCUUUUUAGUCCUGCUAACUGAAAUGAUUUUGAGUGAACCUUGUAUCCAAGGAUGCCGUUUCCACUGAUUCAACUAUCCAUGGCUUGGAAAAAAUUUUAAAAAACAAAAGCUUACCUUGAAUUUGCCGUUUUAUAUAAUUUCACUAUCUGUCGGGGGUGCUUUGAUUGUGCUUUUCCUGCAUAGCAGGGGUUGGACUAUUUUUAUUUAUUUAUUUAUUUCAUACAUUUAUAUCCCAUCCUAUAAUAAAUAAUAAUAAUUCUCAUCCCUGGUUUGGGGGGGGGGACUCAGGGUGGCCUCACAACUGGCAAUCAUUUGAUGCCAAAAUACAACAAUUCUAAUAACAGUUACAAUUACGACAAAUAGUUAAAACAUCAAUUAUAAAACCAUCCAUUUAAAAUUACAUCAGUUCAAUUCAAAGUCAUAGUCCGAGGUCUGUCUAUUGUCAUUCACAUAAAUCAUUUCAUUAUUAUUGCUGCCUCUGCUGCUCAAAUACCUGGCCCCAUAACCAUGUUUUAAGUUUUUUCCCUAAAGGAUAGGAGGGAGGGGGCUGGCCAGAUUUCAUUAGGAACCGUUUAGGGCUUUAUAGGCUAAAGCCAGCACUUUGAAUUGUGCUCGGUAGCAGCCUGGCAGCCGGUGGAGCUGACGUAACAAGGGGGUGGUAUGCUCCCUGUAUGCCGCUCCCGUGAGCAAUCUGGCUGCUGCCCAUUGGACUAAUUGAAGCUUCUGAACAGGUUUCAAAGGCAACCCCAUGUAGAGCAUGUUGCAGUAAUCUAUUCUAGAUGUGACAAGAGUGUCGACCACCGUGGCCAAGUCAAACUUCCCAAGGUGCGGGCGCAACUGGCGUACAAGGUUUAAUUGUGCAAAAGGUCCCCUAGCCACCGCCGAGACCUGGAGAUCCAGGCUCAACGAUGAAUCUAGGAUCACUCCCAAGCUGCAAACCUGUGUCUUCAUGGGGUGUGUGACCCCAUCCAGCACAGGCUGUAACCCUAUGCCCUGUUCAGCCUUUUGACUGAGCAGGAGGAUCUCUAUCUUGUCUGGAUUCAAUUUCAAUUUGUUUGCCCUCAUCCAGUCCAACACAGCAGCCAAGCACCAGUUCAGAUGGCCCAUGUGGUCUCUUCCACACUUCCAGCUAGAUGGCCCAUGUGGUCUCUACCAACUUUAUUAUUCUAUGAUUCUACUACAUCGCUGUAUAUAAUGUGAUUUCAGCAUCCAAGAAUUUUGGCAUCCAUGGAAGGGUCCUGGAACCAAACCCUAGCAGAUAUUGAGGGCCACUGUGUUUAUAGAGAGUUGGAUUAGUGUUUUACAGGCUCAAAUUCACACAGGAAUGUGACACUCUUAGGCCAAUCAUUUUCUCAGAGCUUCUCCUAUCUUGCAAGAUUGUUGUUAUAAUCAAGCAGGGAGGAAGAGAGCCAGGAUUGCUAUGUCUUUGUGUGAUAUAUGAUGUUAUUUUAUGUCAUGUGUUUAAUAAUGUUUAAUGCUUUAUCAAGGGAGGGUCAAUUUUGAUGUUUUAUACUUUUUUUAUCGAGGGCAUUGAAUUGUUGCCAACACUGUGAACUGCCCUGAGUCCCUUCGGGUUUGAGAAGGGUGGUAUAUAAAUACAGCAAAUAAUAAAAUAAAUUGCUGCUUUUAGUUCAUUGCAAGGAAGGCAAGGGCAACAGCACCUAGACCUCAAAGUGGAAGAAGAUAUUUGGGGGAAAAAUCAUGUAGCUUCCAAAGAGACUUCUCCAACUUGUGACCAAUUAAGCUAAACACAAAUCAAGUACCUGUUUGGUGCUUGACAGCUACCCUCCUUACUUUAGUAGUCAUUGAAUGCAAGUCAAAAUCCAUCUGGUCCUUGGUGGGUUCGUUGCCACAUAAUUUCAAGUUUCAGCUGCCCAGAUGUUUUUAAAAGGGGAUUCUAACGAAAUAGGCAUUUAAAGCUUUGGCUUUACAGUUUUAAUUAUUUAAUUGAUUUGAUUAAAAAGUUCUCACUAGGAAUCUGUAGAUCCUCCAAAGUGACUCUAUAGUCAACUUCCUGUAUUCAUGCUGGAGUACCUAGAGAUUUCUAGAGAGAACACUCCUGAAGGACUCUAGAUCCUCCAAAGCAGUUCUGUGUUCAGCUUCCAAUGGAGGUUGACCAGAGUCAUGCUGGAAGACCAGAAAUUCCAAGUCCGGGGGGAGAGAGGGCUUGAGCAUCCAUGGAUUUUUGCCAUCCACAGAAGAUCCUGCAACACUUAGCAGUAUCGUAGCCUUUCAGUAUCCAAAGGGAUACUGAUGGACUUUGGAUACUGAGGGACUAUUGUACUGCUGGGUGCUGCAGGCAUGCCCUCCUAUCCGAGAAAAUAAUAGAUGCCUCUGGGAGCCAUAUGCGUGUGUUGUUCAUGAGGCAGUAGCCAUGGCUAUCCAAUGCUCUUGCAAACCCUCCAACUGUCUGAUUUGACAAGGACAGUCCUAGCUGAUCUGUUGUCUCACUUUUUCAACUGCUUUGAAAGUUUCUCUUAGAACUUCAGUUGGUACAAAUUUCAGUCGAAGUGCCAAACUGGUUUGCAGUCAGUUAACUCCACACUGGGGAGAGGAAAAGACGGAGUAGACUCUUUCACUUUCCAGAAGGCUCAGACAAGAGCAAUCUGCUGCAAUCUCUCGUUGCUUGUGUGUUCUUUCUCAUUACUCAGUUUUGCUUUCACAAAACUCUGAUGUUGUGUAGUUACAUAUAUCCACAUUUCCAUUUUUAAAAUGUUGGAGAGUGUAUGAGAAUACAUGCUUGCUACCAGCACAUGGUCCUUCUAAGACAACAAGAUUAUUUAUGUAAAGAAGUGUUUUAAGUUCUAACACAUGGGUUAAAAAAACCAAUAGGGAACAUGUUGACAGCACUUUUCAGGAAUGAGUGGCACCCUGGUGUUUCUUGAUGAGAAAAAGUAUGCUGAAAUGCAAAAUGUAGGUUUACUUGAUUUUCUGGUAUCAAAUUUCAUUGUCAUCUCAGGAACCAAACAAACCACAGAUACAGCUGCAUCCAUGAGAUCCAGCAUUUUGCACUAUAAGGACAGAACUAUGUAUUCCAACCUCUUAGACUUGCCUUCAGAGUUGACAUGUGCACUUUUGGGCUCAUCUACACAAAAUCUGAGGCCAAUUCCAGCAUAGUAAUUCAUCGUCUUGGACUCGAGGGCAGCUGCAUUGCCUGACACCAUCCUGCUGUUGUUGUGGGGCAAAGUCCAUGCCAUUCAUUCUGGCAGAAGAUGGUUUGACUCCACUGAACAGUCAUUUAUGUAGACUGGCCCUUGUUGCCACAGCAGCUGACUCUGAGGCUCCACAGAGUUCUUGAUCAUCGCUGGACAUCUUUGCUGAUUUCAAGGAAGGCACCUGCAUGACCUAAAGAAAGGAGGGAGUAAUAACUGCCAUGGUUACAAGAAACAGCAAAAUUAAGUUCCAUCCUCUCUUCUGGCCUGGUGUGGGGUUUUUACACAAUGUAGACAGGUCCUCGGUAUCACAGGAUUGAUGGGUGCAUUGAGAACUGGGAGAAGCAACUGUGGCACUUGUAUGACCCUGGACCUUCUGGAGUCACAUGGAUUGCUGAAAAACAAAACAAUCCCUCCCUCCUUCCCUCUCCCAAAGUGCUUGGAAGACUUCUUCUGAUUCUCAAAAACUGACAUCUAAUUAAUAUAAACGAGCCUUGCAAUGAAUUGAUGGUGGCAAUGAAGAACAAACUGCAGAAGGAAUAGAGGCACAUCUGCUCAUUUGUCACUCCUUCCUCCACCUUAAACUCCUUCCACACAGCUGAUUUCCUCUCUGUGGGUCUCUGUAGGUUUUCCAGGCUUCUGACAUCUCUCCAGAUGAAAUAAUGGUUGGCUUGUGAUAACAAUUCUUCAUCCCAGAUAGGGACCCUGAGAAGUACGGCACAAUAUAAAGCUUCCAGUGGAUUAACUUGUAAAUAGUUGUAAGUGUGAUGUUGUUUGAGCUUAUUAGUAGUGAAUAAGGUAAUGUUUGAAAUCAUGUUUGAAUGUGACUGAAAGAGCCUUGAUGGCUAAGCAAUUAACUCCCUCCCCAGCAUUGGUGUGCCAAGUGGAAGCGGUCAAAUUGUAAAGCAGACCAGCCUGAUGUCUUCCUCUCAUCAUGCUUGCCAUUCAGAAAAAAAGUCCCACCAGCUGCUUCUAACCUUGUUGUCAAGGCUGCUGUAGGGAAAAGUGAUCGAUCAUCUGCUUCCCGCUUGUAGCUUUGCUGUGCAGCUGCUUUUGAGCGUGGAAAUAAAUACCAAGCUUUUGCAAGAACAGGUGCUUUGGUUUUGUUUAGAACCAAAGAAUAAGAAGAAGGCAAGGCAUAUGGCUUAAAUCCUACUGUUAGUCCCAACAAGAUUAGAGCCUUUGAAUAAAGUGGAUUUAACUAUAUGUUGACUCACUAGUCAACUGUUGAUUCAGUAGCUUUACUCCAAUUGGGAUUAACCUAUGGGAUAAUAGCUUAUGCUGCUUGUUUCUUUGGAAAUAUCUACUGCCAAAAAACAAAAAUGUUAUCCUCCCAAUUUGGAGGGUCAGGGAUGUUUCUGUGGUCAUCUUCCUCUUGCCAAAAGAAUGAAAUAUGUCUAGAGUUUUCUUCUUACUGGGCAAGGCUCCCCAUUCAACCAUUGAUUCAUUGGGUCUACUCUGGACAGGAUUCAAACUGUUGUAUGCAUUCAAGUCAUUUCUGACUUAUGGAUAAGGCAAACCUGUCACAGGGUUUUUUGGAGCUAAGAGUGUGUGACUUGCCUGAGGUCAUGCAGUCUCGUUCUACUACUUAAGAUGGAGGCUUGCACGUAGCCUUUUCCUCUUCUCUAGAGAUGAUUCCUCCCCCCCCCCCCCAAACUGGAAAUGUUGGACCCUUGUCUUUUGCCUGAAGAUAACUCACAAAAACAAAUCUUGGACCCUGAGAUCUGGCAAUCUCAUCUGGUGCCCAUAACUUUUGAUAUGGGCCGGGCCGGGCUGUGGUGCAGCUGGCUAGUAACCAGCUGCAAUAAAUCACUACUGACAGAGAGGUCAUGAGUUCGAAGCCCGGGUCAGGUUAAGACCCCGACCAUUAAAUAGCCCGGCUUGCUGUUGACCUAUGCAGCCCCAAAAGACAGUUGCAUCUGUCAAGUAGGGAAAUUUAGGUAUGCUUUAUGCGGGAGGCUAAUUUAACUAAUUUACAACAUCAUAAAACUGCCAGCAAAACACGAGGAAAGGAAUGAGGAAGUACAGCCACGAGUGGACAGUGAAGCAACAGCUCCCCCUGUGGCCAGAAUCGUGAAGCUGGAAAAAAAUGUUAAAUGCCUCUGUGUCUGUCUAUAUAUGUUGUUUGUCUGUUGGCAUUGAAUGUUUGCCAUAUAUGUGUUCAUUGUAAUCCGCCCUGAGUCCCCUUUGGGGUGAGAAGGGUGGAAUAUAAAUACUGUAAAUAAAUAUGGGACCUUACUUUUGAUGUGGAUCCUUAGGUACUUUCCUUCCUUAUGAAGGAAACCAUUGCUGGACUGAGGUGAGAUACAGCUGGUGAAAGAGGUAGUAGCUUUUGCCAUUACUUUCAUACACAAGAACAGGAAACUGUUGCCUGCUGAAUCAGAAACUUGAUCCAUGUAGCCUGUUAUUGCCAACUCUAACACUCUAGAGUUUCAAGCAGGGUUCUUUCCUACUCAUACCUGAAGAUUUUUGGUCUUUCAUCCAAACCCAACUGUGUUUUGUUAAUGAAAUUGGACAUCCAAUGAUAUGAUAAGGUCUUCUGAAAAUGUGGCAGAGCUCUUGCUGCCUGUAAUAACGGUUGAGCUUAUCAACUUCAGCAGCAGAGAAAGUCCUUAGAAAGAAGUUAAACAUGAAUAGCUUCAUUUAAAAAAGAGACAUGUUCAAAGAAUAAAUUGGAAGUAAUGAUGGGACCUGACUCACAAGGGCAUUGAAAUAAGCCUGAGUAAUUAAACUAAGAAAUCACUUCCUGACUUCAUUUUAGUUGUUACAUUGGAAUGUCAAAAUAAAUUCACUUUCAGUUGCCAGUCUCAGCUACUGUGCAAAACAUUUCAAUUUUACAUGAUCCCCUUAUCUGCAGGGAAUGCAUUGCUGUACUUCAUAUGGAUAUGAGAAACCAUGGAUAAUAGCAAACUUCUAGCCAAGAACACAGUUGUGCUGGAGGACGUAGCAUAUGCCAAGGGAGGACAUAUUUUGUCAGAUGUGGAUAAAUGAAACCUCAGUUACUGAUCCCAUGGAUAUGGAAUUAUACUAUAUACAUUUUAUCUUCUUUUCAAAAUUAUUAACCAGAGUUUUAAAAGCAAAAAAGGAAAUGGCAGGCAUGGUUUCCAAUUACUUGCCUAAUUUGUCUAUUAACACAAUAAUAUGCAGAAUUCUCAGAAGUUUUUUCCUUUCGCUCAGCAGUAUUCCCAAAUACCUCCGGAAGGUGUGAGUACUUCUCUGGGGAAACCAAUUCCCCUCUUUUUAUUGAUACUUGCUCAUUAUAUAUACGAGAGCAUACAUAAUGGAAUGGCCUAUUUGUCUUUUUCCUCUAAUGAAGCUUAGAGUGUGGCUGGUUAUAUAAGAGGAAGAACUCAGCAAUGCUGAGGCUCACAGUAUUUUAUUUCAGAAGAAUAAUGGAUUAUCAUAUAAAGGCGAAAAAAAUGAUGAUCAUGGGUGAGCCUGCAGCUGGCACCAAAUCAAUGGUUGUUAGUAGGGUUGCAAAUGUUUAAUCAAAUUAAUCAGCUUUUAGAACACUUUUAAUCAACUAAAAAGUCCCCCAGUUAAUCAGAGUAUUCUGAGUGCAAAUACUUAUAAAGAGGUUUUUAACAUGUUUCCUAAGAUCAUCCAAAUAUCCCUGCAUCAACUUAUGUCCUGCUCGACUAUACACUUGAUAACUGAUUGAAUUAAUUAAGCAAGAGAUUAGGCAACUCAUGGUUUGAACUAGCGUUGACCCUCUUUAUCCACAGAUUCAAUCAUUUAUGCUUAACUUGACUUUGCCAUUUUGUAUAAAGGACAUGCUUUUAUUAUGCAAUUGCAGAUAAUGGGACUUAUCAUCCAUGAAUUUUGGUAGCCACAGGGGGUCCUGAACCCCAUUAGGUACCAAGGGACCAGUGUAUAACAUGCAUUGUUUCUAGUCAUUGGCCUUGUUACUUACUUACUUACUCAGGCGAUACCUCGUAGUUCGAGGAUGAUGGUCCUCCAAGUGUAGCGUCUUGGCGAUAGAUAUGUAGGUGGCUGUGGAGAACUAUUCUUGACUCGUAUGUUCUUCCGCAGUGAAGACAUUGGUUUCCAGACAGAAGGCGGUCCCAAUCAGGGUUGGCUUGACAUGCCUUCCUCUUGGCACGUUUCUCCCUUAAGCCCUCCAUUCGUGCCUCUUCGAAUUCCGCUGACCUCCAAUACAGCGCUCAAGGGCCAGGGCUUCCCAGUUCUUGGUUGGCUUUGAGUCCAUCUUUAAAUCUCUUUUCCUGUCCAUCAACAUUACAUUUCCCAUUCUUGAGUUGGGAGUAUAGUAACUGCUUUGGAAGACAGUGACCAGGCAUUCGGACAAUGUGGCCAGUCCAGCGGAGUUCAUGGUGUAAGAGCAUCGCUUCAAUGCUGGUGAUCUUUGCUUCUUCCAGCAUGCUGACAUUUGUCCGCCUGUCUUCUCAAGAGAUUUGCAGGAUUUUUUGGAGGCAACGCUGAUGGAAUCUUUCCAGGAGUUGAGUGUGAAGUCUGUAGACAGUCCAUAUUUUGCAGGCAUAUAGCAGGGUUGGGAGGAUGAUAGCUUUAUAAACAAGCAUCUUGGUAUCCCUAUGGAUGUCCCAAUCCUCAAGCACUCUCUGAUGCAUUUGGAGAAAUGCUGCACUCUCAGAGCUCAGGCAGUGGUGUAUUUCAGCGUCGAUGUUGACUUUUGUGGAGAGGUGGCUGCCUAAGUAGUGAAAAUGGGCAACAUUUUCUAAUGUUACACCAUUAAGCUGUAUUUCUGGCAUAGCAGAGGGAUUGGCUGACAACUGCUGGAAGAGCACUUUGGUUUUCUCGAUGUUCAAUGAGAGGCCAAGCUUCUUGUAUGGUUCUGCGAAGGUGUUUAGAGUGGCUUGUAGGUCUUCUUCUGAACACGCACGGACUAUGUUAUCAUUUGCAUAUUGGAGUUCUAUAACAGAUGUUGUUGUGACCUUGGCUUUGGCUUUCAGUCUGCUUAGGUUAAAUAGCUUGCCACUUUUCCGAUAGAUGAUUUCCACUCCCGUGGGAAGCUUCCCAUCAACAAGGUAAAGUAUCAUAGCAAUGAAGAUGGAAAAUAAGGUUGGGGCAAUAACACAUUCCUGUUUGACACCUGAUUCCACCUUAAAUGGGCCACUAUGGGAGCCAUUGCUUUUCAAGGCUGGGGGGAGUUAUAGACAUGUGAUCAAUACUGAGCAUAUGCAGACUCAGAACUCAGUGUUCAGUGUGUGUUUGGACUUCAGUAGAGAAGGUUGCUGUUUGGAAUUCAAUGAAAGCAGAUGUAUGUGUCCAGGCCUCAGUGGAGGUAGGUGCAUGUUGCUGUUUAGAGACUUCAAUAUAGAAGUAUGCUUAUGAAUGUCAGUGAGUACAACUAUACCUAAAGACUAUGGACUAUUGAUUAAGAAUGAUACCCUGUGUAUUCAACACAGAGAGAACUACAUCAUAUCUAUAACUGAACUUCAGCAAGAAAUGUGCCUGUAUGUGAAUUAAUACAAGAUGUUUAUGAAUAAACAAGAUAUGUUAUUUUUCAAAGAAGACUUUGUUUUUUAACUCUGCAUAUUUUAAACUAAGAGGUUUCAAGGGAGUGUAUAUCUUUUGGGCAAUUACAACUGCAAACAACCAUUCUCUACUAACCAAAAAUAUUUUUGUAGUGGCAUGUCUUCAUCCUUGGCAGUUUAAAGACAUGCUUUCUCAGUUUAACAGCAGAGUUACCUGUGUGCAAUUACAUGAAUGCUUGUGAAUACCACUUGUUCAAAGAUUUAACUUCUAACAAGGUUAUGCUCUUCUUGACUAGUGGUUUUCAAGAGGUGGUCUCCACAUGUUCGUGGAGAUUCACAUUUGCCAAAAGGAUAUGUGUCCACAGACUAGGUGCAGUUAUUGUCCAAUAGCUUAUGCAAUAGGUCAAGUUUUGCAGUAGGCUAUGGCAUUUGCAAUAGGCCUUGGUAGAUGGAGUCAUAUUAACACUUCUCCUUCCUUCACUUUCUCAUCAACCAUCAGCUGUCUUAUUCCGUGGCAACAGGAUCCAUUCAGUUUGUAUAAAAUGAACAGCCUGCCCCUUUGUUGCAGGAAACUUGAGUGGGUAUGAGAGGAGAGGCCACCGACAUGCCCAUCUCAGAAGACAUUAUUGAGACAAACUGGGAUCAAGCGAUAUUUAGUAUCAAAAAUGCUAUUUGGAUAUUCCAGAAAAAUGUUAAUACACGAGGAAGGCAAUCCACUAAUCUGAUCUCCUUGGCCAUCAAUGUUCUCUCUGAAAAGAAGAGCAUCUUCUAUGUUGGAGACACACCGGAUGAUCAGAAACCUGAACGAGCAAUGAUGAUGUGUGAAGCUUGACUUCACACUGAAUUUCAGGAACAUUACUUGAAAAAGACAGUAAGAUACAGGGAGGCAUACCAACCAAAGGCAAGGAGCCAAGAUCUUGAGGAAAGGCAUCAAUAAGAGUGGGCAUAUUGGUUGUGUCUGCUUUUUAAAAAAAUUAGAUCCCCAGGAUCCAUUGAUUAAAGUUCAAAAGACAUAUGCCUAGAAGUGAAGAAAAGGAUGCCUCUAAGCAUGUUCUGAAACUAGGAAUUUGACUCAGAACUGAAGUUACACAAUUGUCCUUUUCAGCUUUCUUCGUUUCCUACCUAAUUCCGAUGUGAAAAAUCUACUGUAGCAAAUCAGCUGGUGUUCUGCAGUUUGGGCCAAUUCUAUAGACACUGACCUCAAAAUAAUGAAGCCGAGCAUCUCUGAAUCUUCAUUGUAUGAAUAUAAAAAUUGCAGAGGUUUUUGCUUCUGGACUUGAAUAACACUAUGUUUAGGUUGGUGGGUCUAACUGGUUAAUGAUGGUGGGGAUAAAAGACCUUAUGUUUCAUGCAGACUACACAGACAUUUCUAGCGCAUGGGCUCAUUAGAUGUCAUUCUGCAGAUGGAAACACUAAGAAUUAUUUGAGAUGCAAACUUAAAAAUCUAUAUCUGCUGACCCACCUGGAAAGCAUACACUCCUUCAGAAGUUACAUCCACUCAUUAUUGUUGUAUCGCAUACCUCAAAUGCUAGCAUUUUCUGAAUUUCAAACUCUUGUUGCACAUCUAAAGUCGGAAAAUACAAUUCCAUACUCUCCAAAUGUUGGCAGAGACAGUCCCAAUUAAUCCUCUGUCAUCUUCCUUUUUUAUCUGCCUUAAAAAUGUUCCAGUUUUUUCUUUUCCUCUCUUACCUCUUUGUCCUCAACUUACCUCUGUUGCUGCAAUCUGAGCUCAAAGCAUAAAACUAGUUUGCAUUCAAUUCAGCAGAGGAAUCAUUCCCUUCCCAAUAGGCUCAAGCAAAAGCAAACUGCUUCAGCCUCUCUUAGUUUGUGUGUCCUUUCUCAGUAAUAACUUUUGUCAUUAAUAACUCUGAUGUUGUUUGCUCAUAUUUAAUCCCAGUAUUUAUCUGUGAAAUCUUGGAGAGCAUGAAAUUCCAGAAUCAGAUCAAACAGGUUUUGUGUUAGAUUUCUGAUUUGUUUUAAAGAGACCAUCAUCACUGAUCCAAGCUAAAGAAGGCUAAGAAAUGAAGCUAUAUAAAAUCAUGCUGCUCUAUGCUAAUCCUGUAGACAUCUUAUGUCUGAUGGGUUGUUCUGUGUUUUCCAGGCUAUAUGGCCAUGUUCCAGAAGUAUUCUCUCCUGACGUUUCGCCCACAUCUAUGGCAGGCAUCCUCAGAGAUUGUGAUUUAUACCUCAUAUACCUCACAACCUCUGAGGAUGCCUGCCAUAAAUGUGGGCUAAACGUCAGGAGAGAAUACAUGCAACGACUCUUUGAUCCCGGCCUUGAAAGCCUUCGACAACACGUUAUGUCUGAUGCAUAGCAUAUGGUUGAUAAGAUAGAAAACUGCCAUGAACUGAGACAGAUCACAAAUCUAUCACAGUAUUGACUUGGCAGUGAGAUGCCAGAUAAUGAGCCCAGGUCCUGAAUUGUAGUCCCUACAGAUUUAUGAGUUGGAUCAACUGCAAAACCAUCUUAGCUGGGCUAGUUUUGUGGUUCAUUGGUUUCGAGACCUCCAUAUUGCUUUUUUGUUUAAACAUCACCUUACUGGAUGGGCUGCUAGAUUAAUGGCUAGUGACAAUCAUAAGCCAGCCAAGCCAUGUUCGUCACAAGUAAAAUGUGAUAUAGCAAAGAGGUAUGUCUAGCAUGACAUUUCAGCAUGAGAUAUGAAUAUGGAGUACACCUAAAACUGGUUACAUCCC